UUUUUUUUUUUUUUUGGGUUUCUGUUAUUGAUUGAGAUUAUUGGGUGAUUACUUUCACUAUUUUGAAUGAGACAUUAACGGGUUUCUGUUGUGGUUUGUCUGUUGUUUCUGUGAUUGAAUGAAAUUUACCAACUAUUUCCUGUGGUUGUCAAGCUCUUGGACUUGGAUACACUGUUUUGUGCUUAUGAUUUGUCUAUGAAAUCAUGCAUACAUUGUUUUGUGAUUAAGGCUUGGACUUGCAGACCUCCUUGAAAGUGGUGUAUUCACUCUUUUGUGAUUGUGAUUUGUUUGUGAAAUCACUUAGGUGAUAUAUCAAAUUAGGACUUCUGGCUUUUCUGAGCAACCUGUAAGAAUACAUAUAAAAACUCAUAGAUGCUCUCUGAAAUAACAGUAAUGUAUGUUCUAACCUUUGAAACCAGUAGCACCAGCAACAAAUGCAAGAUUCUCAUUGUUUACUUCUUUUGAAUGUGAUUGGAGAGUUUGUAAGUUUUAUGAGAAUGCCAAUAUUUUAACAUACUUUUGAUACUGUAAAGUUGGCAUAUGUUGGAUCUUUAUUUUCUCUAAUGUUUUGGUGCAGUCUACAAUCCUCAAGGUUGGUAUCAUGCCAAGGUUGUGUUGGUGCCGUGAAAAGGGUUCUUGGAAAACUUGAAGGUUUGUUGAUAACUCUUGCAUUUAUCUAGUUCCAUUGUCUUGCUCUUCUUCUUCUCUGAGACUAUGCUUCUUUAACUGUUUGAACAAUGCCAAAUGCACUAUUGAUGAUUUCCUAAUUUGUAGACACACAUUCACUUCACCCAUGUUUAUUACUUUUGAAUUGCAAUUGAGUAGUAUGAAAUUGUGUGCAUGAAUAUGAACUUUAAUUUUGCAAUGGUACUGUCUUGUGAAAGUUUGCCAUAUGAAGAAUUGGGUCAUUUAGAAAAGCCAACAAUCUAUAUGAAUUUCGGUAUUGGUUUUUGUUUUGAAAUUGGUUUUAGUUGUGAUUGAAUGUUAUAUUUUUGUUUCCAUUGUGAUUGAAUGAUUUGCUUCUAAUAUGCAUUUUUGAUCCAUUUUAUACAGAUGGAAGAUUGUCUUGUUUCAAUUGGCGGCGUUCUUUUGGGGAGGAAAUUGCUAACUUUCAGCUUAAAUUCGGGUCUAAGAGGACAUGUCUUGGAAUUUUUCUUAUACAUAUGAAUUGUGUUAAAAUUCUAGACCAAGAGGAGAUGAAAUUUUUUUGUUUUUUGCCACUUUCUUAUGUAUAUCUUAAGAUGUAAUGAGAUAACAUUGUUAGUUCAUCAAUUUAUGAAAGUCAAGUUAGAAGGAAAUUUGGUAAUCUCUAGUUUCCAUGGUUUUAUCGUUCCCCUUGCAAAGAAGAAAAAAAUACAAAUGUAACCAAAUCAAUGAUUUAAUUGGCAAAUGCCAUGACUGAUAUGUAUUGCAUAUGUAUUGCACAUGUAUAGCUAUUUAUUGCUUGUGUAUUGGCCCCGUAUAUCUUUUUUUAAAAGUAUGUUGGAAUAAAUUUAUAGAGGGAGUAUGAAGUUUGUGUAUUGCCAUUGUAUAGCCUUUUAUUGCUUGUGUAUUGCUACUGUAUUGCCAUCGUAUAGCCUAUUAUUGCCUGUGUAUUGCCCCCGUAUAUCUUUUUUUUAAAGUCUUGGAAUAAAUUUAUAGGGGGAGUAUGAAGUUUGUGUAUUGCCAUUGUAUAGCAUUUUAUUGCUUGUGUAUUGCUACUGUAUUGCCAUUGUAUAGCCUUUUAUUGCUUGUGUAUUGCUAUUGUAUUGCCCCCAUAUAUAUAUAUAUAUAUAUAUAUAUUUUUUCAAGUCUGUUGGAAUAAAUUUAUAGGGGGGUUUGGAGUUUGUGUAUUGCCAUUGUAUAGCCCUUUAUUGCUUGUGUAUUGCUACUGUAUUGACCUCGUAUAUCCUUUUUUUUUUUCAAGUCUAUAUUGCGGGUAUGAAUGUGGGGAUGGGGGAAAAAAGCUUCACGGGGAUGGGGAUGGGAAUGGCAUACCCACCCCCGAUUUGACCCAUUGCCAUCCUACAAAGGCAAGAAGAAUGAGCUAUAUAUACACAUAAUGUAUAUAAUGUGCUCUCUUCAAUUAAUAAUAUAAAUAAAAGUAUUUUUCCAUUGCAUACACUUGCAAAUAUAUACAAACAACAUAUUCAAGACUGAAUAAUUACAUGGUCUGUCUGACACACAAAUAGUUCCUUAAUUACAUGUUUUUUUUUCCUUAUAACUAUAGUACACUUCUUGCAACAGAAUGGAAUGUUGUCCCACCCCAAAUUGAUGAAGGUUCUCAAUGACAACAAUCUUCUAGAAGCCAACAAUAAUCUUGCUCCAACUGUUAUGAAAAAAAAAUGUCAAUUAUCUCAAGACUUAAGAGUUAGGGUUUCAAAUCGCUAGAGACCAAACUUGUGGGAUAUAGGCCGUGACAUGAUCACGUACUCUACCAAUUGUUGCUUCACCUUCCCAAAUUCAUCCAUCAUCUUCCUCUACAACAGAAACAAAAUAAAGCAAUAUCAAUAUGUACAUAUAUAAAUAUGUAUAUACAGAGUAAUACAAAAGACAAAUUGGUACUAAUGAGGUAGAUCUUUGAUAUGCUCUAUUGGAACCAUCACUUUCCUUUUAUUGCUAUAUAUGCAGAUGCGCAAAAGCACAAACAAGCCCAAUUUAAAAUCUCCUACUUACGUAUCAAGAAAAGACUCAAAGCAGACUAAGUUUCUUAUAAAAAUAGAGUUCAUUGUUUUUCGUCUGUGCUUCAUUCGUAACUUAUAACACAUAUGGUAUCCAAAAUUUCACGCAGUGCAUCAAAACUCAAUCAAGUUAACUCUGGAACAAUGAGAGAACAACAAUAUUAAUCAAUGAAAGAAUUAUGAAAGAGGCUAUCAUUGAUCAACAACAUUAACUCCAGAACAUAGACACCACAGAGGUAUGCAGUACAAUUUACUUUCAUUCAAUUUCUAUACAAAAAUAAUCUUUUAGAUUGAUAUAGUCAUUCAUUGCAAACUGAAAUUUCACAGCCAUGAGAAUAAUGCCAAGAGGAAGAGUAUCAUAUCACCUCAAAAUUGGAAAACAUCUAAUGGACGAGGAAAAGCAAACCUACCAAGCACAAGACGAAAAGCCUUACUGCUCAAGCUUGAUCAGUGCAUAUCUACAUGGGCGUUAACCCCCGUAUGAUCAUAUUGCUUAUUUUUUCUAUUCUUGGCAUUGGCUUUGCACCAUUUAUGUUUUAACAGUACAUGAAUUGUUCCAAAUUAAAAACUUCAAACCGCAGGUCCUAAUUAUAGGCAGUAAAUUAUGACUUAAUAAAAAAUAGUCAUUGGAGUUGGAUCUAGGAAGCUGAAAGCAUCACAUGGCUCAAAGAAACCAAAUCAGGGGACCACGUACAACAGGGGCUGUUGUGCUAGCUAGUACUGCAGGGCAGGGUAGGGCAGAGCAAGGCAGGGCAGGGCAUGGCAAGGGACAUUUGGAUGCAAAUGCUAGAGAUAUAGACCCUUUCUUUUAGGUAAAUGAGGAAGACGAAGCAGCAACAAAACCUGGCCAUGUGAAGUAGCAGCAUCAGACCCUUUCUAUGUUUCUUUUGUUUGUUCACAUACUUUUUUGCCAUAUCAUGGCCCUUAGAAUUCUUGCAAAAUAAUAACAUGAACUUUAUUUCUCAAUUUCACAAUGACACAAACCAAUGUAGUAUUAACUUGUUCACAGCACAAGUUAAAUGGCGAUGUCGAAAUGAAAGAAACUCAAGGCAUGACACAAAAGUUGAAAAAUAAGAAAAUAAAUCUAAUAGAAUUCCAAAUAUCAAAUGACACAACCAAGUAUCCAUUCACUAUAAACUGACAUAAUAUGGCACCUGUGUAAGUCUUCAUGCAAAAACAGGGACAUUUCUCAAGCAUUGUUAAAAGGUAAUUAAACUAAUGUCAAUGGCGAUCUAACAAAACCAUUAUGCACUGUAAAGACAUCUUCGUAAACAAAUUAUAAUAAAACUCACAUGUGCUUCCUUCCAUUUAGAUGGGUUCAUUGGGUCCUCCUAGAAGUUCACCUUUAAGUAUAUACCAUGAGAAUUGUCCCAAUUGGUUUGUAUCUCAAAGAAAACCAUAGUGCGCCUCAUUAAGGUGAUUCAUCGAACACCUACAGGCCAUUUUUUCAUGCACUCAUCAACUCAGCCUAACCAAACAAAUAGAACCAUAUAUUCAGAACAAGCAAAUAAGCAUGAUAAAUAAAACGAUGUAGCAAGAAUUUGGAUUUUGAGCAACUUUCUAGACCACUAUAUGAAAUUGAAACAAUCAGAAGAAAACUCAAAUAACAUAUGGGUAUGAAAGUAAAGGCAAAAAGCUGAGUUGGGUACCUAGGGCGUCAUCUCUAGGUAUAUGGAUUUCAGGAAUGCUGAAGAAAUUGAGAAAUUUGUUGAACCGGAGGGGAAGAACGGCGGUUGAAAUAGGUGACAGAGAGUGAGAGAUGGAGGUAGAGAACAGCGGCCGAAAGAGAGAAGUGAGGUCGUCGUUGCUGAUGUGGGUUCUGAGGAGGUGACAGUUGAGUACUUCGAUUGUGAAUAGCAUUGCUCAACGGGUAAUGUCAACCCAGUUGUAGCAUAAAGACGAUACUAAUGUUAGCCAUUUGAUCAAUCUAAUGGCCUAGUAAGUAGUCCCCACAAAUAACCUCCGCAUAGAAUCUCCGCAUUAUAGUCUCGUGCUAGGGCUAUUUCCCAAAAUCGUUUCGGAAAUGUUUGAAAAGCCCAAAAGCCAGCCCAGUGAAAGCACACGUCACCCUCUCACUCUUCUCUCUCUCUCUCUCUCUCUCUCUCUCUCUCUCUCUCUCUCUCUCUCCCCGAAGAUUUCAGAAAAGGCCCGGCGACCCGGGUUUUUCCACCUUCACGAAAAAGCUUCGCCGCCACCUCCUCUACAAAACCCACCCCACCACCGGCCCGGAACACCACCACAGAAGGCUGCAGAACGAUCGAAAACAGGCGGAGUCGCGCCACCGUUGCCGCCGGUGUCGAGUUUGUUUCCGGCCAAUUUCGGUCACCUCUGUCCGCGAUCUAUCUUGCAAAAGGUAGAUCUCGUCCUCCUCUAUCGUUCCCUUAGAAGACCCGACCCAGGCAAGGUGAUUUAAUUCAUAACUUAGGCCUUUAAUUGUUGAUUAGUAUAGUUUUAGUCUAUUCCAUAUCCAGUUCAAAAUUUUCAUCCCACUGUUUAAAGUUUUCUGCUUUGUUUGACCGUGUGGUAGUCCGAGCUUUAUCACAUUUUGCUUUCUUGAGUCUCUAAGUAGUUUAGAAAACACGCUAGCAAGGAGAAAUCUGGUAAUUGUUGUUCUGUUUCCAUUCUUUUGCUUGUAGCAGAUUAUCCCAUCAAUGAUGCUCAUCAGAGUUGUAGGUGCUCUUUCUUUUAUGCUUUUUCCCCUUGUAUAUAUAUCUUGAUUGGCUCACUCCCAAUCCAGGUUUUGAUUAAAAUGAAUGCCUGUUUCCACUGAGGACGUUAGUUGGAUUGAUUUGGAUUUGGAUUUGGAGAUCAUAAAUCUGAAUCUUGUGGUUGGACUCAAAUCUUAACAAGAGGAUUUGCAUUUGCCCAAGAAUUUGAAUUCCUAAAUUAAAUUAGGAAUUUUACAUGUAAAACCUCUUUCUCUCUCUCUCUCUCUCUCUCUCUCUCUCCCCACCACUGAUUGUGUUUUGUUGCAAAUUGUAACAGUUGUGUGUAUUGAAUACCUGGAUACAUAAUCAUAGAAGAAUUGUCAGAAGGAUUCUUGGAUUGCAAUGGCAGCUUCUGCAAAGACUCUAACUGCUGAAAGCCAUACUUUAAAUGGAGACUGGACAGUUGUUUCAUCUCGUCGUGGAAGACAAAGAAGAAAUCCUCCAAAAAUUACAAUUCGAGUACAGAAGCAACCAUCGCAUUGGGCUCCAACUGAUCUCGAAAUCAAUUUUGCCCGAGAAUCAAAAUUGAUGCAGAAGAUGCAGAUCUGUAUGAAGAAAUUGGAGAUGUCUCAAUUCUUUCUUAAUUUACUGGAUGAAAUCCAAACUCCAGAAAUGAUGAAUUACUUCCAUAGGGUUUUGAGCUCGGAGUUGAAGAUGAAGAUGGUUAUAUAUGGCAUAGGCAGCAUCGAAUCGUAUGAAUCCCCUCGGUUGCAGUUGAGCCUUGCCAUCUUGCUGAAGAGAAAGUUCAAUUGGAUUGGAGAUAUAGAGGUCUUUGAUCCCAUUCUUUCUGCCACAGAAUCUCGAGUUUUGGAAGCUCUCGAAUGCUGUGUGUUAUCAAUAAAUGAACAAGGUCGACGUCAGGCUGAGAAACCUACAAUGUUCUUCAUGCCACAUUGCGAGGCAGAGCUAUAUGAUAAUCUUCUACAAGCAAAUUGGGAAGCACGGCUUUUGAAUUGUACAGUAUUGUUUGGGAAUAGCUUUGAGACAUAUGAGCAGCAUCUAUCAGAGUAUAAAAACUCAGCUAUUGUUGAUUCGACAAGGCAUAUCUUAGCUGUUCGAAAAUUCACAGAUGAGUUUAGGAUUAAGACAAUUUCAGAUACUUAUUUCAGUGCCUUUCAUGAUUCGAGUUGGCAUUUUUUCAGGCCUGUCCUUGAGACAGAGCUGCAGUUGAGCUAUUUGUAAUUGUGAGUUGUUGAGAAAUUUCGUGAUGAUUGAAACGUAUUAUCACUUUUAGUACCCCAUGUCCUAUUGCAAAAGUUUCAAGUGUUGGUAUUAUCAGUGCCUUUCAGAAAUUUCCUGAUGUUUCAAGUGUUGGUAUUAUUGAUUCCUAUUAACCAAAAGCCAUAGGAUCAAAACCCACAGAAAGCCAAGAAUGUUACAACAAUGAAAAACAAGCUACAAGAAAAACAAGACAGAGCAUUAAAAGGAUCGGAGGGGGUGGGGAAGGUGAUGAACAAAAAAAUAUACAGAGACAGACCCAAUACUAAAGUCUCUAAUUAAGGCCAAACUGAGUCGACAGAAACCCUAGACUCUAGCUGCUGCAGAAGAUCUUCCACAGCUACCAUCACCUCAUUUUCUUGUGCUUGGCCAUUGCAUUUGUAGUUGCUUCCAUUUCUGGUCAGUGGGUUUAUGGCAGUAGAAGAAUUAGAACAAGAAGAAGGAGGAAGUGUUGCCCACCACAAAUUACUUGGAUCUGUGUUAUGGGGCCGACCUCCAAGUACAGACAAGAGAAGAACAAGAGAAGCCAUAGAAAUUUUGAUGGAAUUGAGAGAGAAAGAAGAAGGCAAGGCAAUUGAUGCAGUUGAAGUUGAAGUUGAAGAUAGCGAGAUGACUUGUUUUGGGUUUUAUAUAAACUAGUAUGCCGGGGUGGCGGGGGGCGCAUGAGAAGAAGGUGAAGCAAAGUGAUUUAAGGAGCCCACUGCUUUUGUUGUUAGAUUAGACCCAAUGUUUGUUUGUUCGACAGGAAGAGGAGAAAACAAGGGAUGCCCACUUCCCCAAAGACACUUAGUUUUCAGGUGACUGAAUGCUAGCCAUCGAUGAGUGGAGCCCACGGAGAUCAAAGGCCGGCAUUCAACCAUUAUGAUAGCGUCUAAUUUUUCAACAGCUGGUGGUGGAUAGUUGGUUGCUGUAUUUAAUUUUGGGUUUUUGUUGUUGAACUAGAUGGUAUCCAACCGUUGCGGCUAGUGGGACUACUUGUAUUCAAUGUGCGUUUUUUAUUGUUGUCGCCAACCCGUCACCCACUAUAUUUAAAAAUAUAAAAUAAAUAAAAAUAGAAGUGCAAUUACAAGAGGAUCUUCUACCGAUGAUAUAUUACCAUACAUGUCAAAUUUUAAUGAGGAAUUUAGUCAUUUACUUAUUUUUAGUAUUAAUAAUAUAAAUAAAUUUUAUAUUAUUAACCUAAAAAAUAACAGCCAGUCUUUAUUGAAUUUAAUUUUGAUUAUUAAAUUACUUUGAUGCCCUAUUGAGUGUUUUGGGCUUUUUUUUAUGAGGUUUUGGGGUUGGGUUUGUUAUAAGAAAUCAAUGGCAAUUUUGUAAUUUAAAAGAAGUUAAAAGCUUUUUUGUUAAGUUGUAUAUGAGUUUUGAGUGUGUUUCUAAAGUCCAUUUCAUAUAUGAUUUUUUUUAUAAUUUGGACUCCUAUAUUGGGUAUAAUAGUGAAUCUCCCAAUUUUAAUAUAAUCAAAUACAAAAAUGAUUAUACUAGUGUCCAAUGGAGAGCUUGCAACAGUUUUCAUUUUCUUCUAUUCUAAAUCUUAGGGCUCGUUUAGAAAUGAUUAUGGAUAGACCAGAAUCACUUCUAGGAAAAAGCACAUUUCAUGUGUUUUUUCAUAAAAUCAUUUAAAACAAUUUAAAGUGAUUAUAUAGAGAAGAGAUUCUUCGUAAAAGUGUUUUUUGGCCCAUUUAGAAUUAAUCUCAAACGAUCUCUUAGUCCAUGACUUGGAAUAAAGGGAAAUGACUUUUUACUCGCAAUAAAACUCUAGAGCAUUACUUACGAAAUCAAUAUCCAUUUAUAAGUGGUGUCAUGUGAUUUCAAUUCGGUGAAUCUCAGCCUUGUGGUUAUGUUUGGUAUCAAUUCUAAGUCAUAUUUCGUGGAUCCUUGGCCUCUACAUUUAGGGACACAAACACCGUUUCUCAGCUCCGGUGUGACUUGUGGGGAGGAAGGAAUCAGCUUCGUGCAGUGACUGAUGGCUUAAAUAAUCUAACUUAAGGGCAUCUGUUGUUGAAAGAGCCCUGAAAUCCAGUCCUUUUGUCCUCUGUUUCAAUCAACUUCUCCCUUAAACCAUCUGGAAGAUAAGCCAAAGCACUUCUGCAUGUGGGUUGGUUGAAGAUACACCAAAAUGGGGAAUGAGAAAUACAAUAAAUAUAAGAUUUCCAAAUAAUAUAAAGAUCUGCAAGUGAAAAAUUACUGUAAUAUAAUUCGUCUCUUUACUUUUUUUUGCUUUUUACCUUGCGACAAGGCCCCAGUUGAACCCAAGCAGCACCGAUUGCCUAAAGCCAAUAUUAAAUCCCUCUUGUGAAGAAGCUUCUUUUCCCGCUAUAAAGCCAUCACCAGUGAACCAUCUACAUAUUUAUAUCAACAGUCAAAGGAUAGAUAAGAGAGCCACUUGAAUUCAAUUAUGCAUGGAAAACAACUAAACACAGACAAGACAAUGACGAAAGUGAGUCUCAAGUGUACAACCACCGUGUGGAAUUGGUGAUGCAUCUUCUGCCACUACCUGCCCAAAGUACAUGCUUCAACUCAUCGUUGGAAGCAUCCCAAGAUCCAUCCUCAUGACACAAAGCAAUCAAUCCUAUCAUGCUCUGCAACAAAACGUUAAACAGAUUUCUUACUACAGAAAGCAGCAAAACCACAGCAGCUAUAAAAUGCCAGAAGAAUUAACUGGUGGACAGGAUAUAAACUUGAAACACAAGCAGAAUCGUUGAACGAACAAUACUAAAACAAGAUUUAUUGCAGCUCAUCAACAUUUUUAUUGUGUCCGUCUUUUUUCUUUUUAAUUCCCAGAUUUACAUAACUUGGCAAAACACUUGAAAUAUCCAUUUUCACAUCCUUGACUACUGUAGGGCCUCCUUUUCCCACCAUAUUAAUUUGAAUGAUGUUCGAAUGUGAGCAUCCAACUCAAACCAAAUUGGCAAUGGGUGAGGAGGCCCAAGAUCAAUUAUACUCUUAUGAAUUUGCACUUCAAAGAACUUAAACAAUGUCACACAUGCUUCAGCUACCAAAGUUUAUAGCUGUUACAAAUAUAACCACAAAUUAAGAGAGCUUCACCAAGGGUAUCGAAGUAAUGCUAGUUUUGCGAAACAAUCACAUCAAAAUAUUCUGAAAAGAAUUAAAAAAAAAAAAAAUUACAUUGAUGUUACAGAAACAAAGAAGAUGUUACGUUCUCUUGAUUUACCAAAAAAUUAUAUAAAACAAAUAAAUAACAGAGAAGAAAACAAAGAUAUUUGAGAUGAACAUAAAGAUAAGGAUGUCAGAGAUGAAUACAAAGAUAUCACCAUAAGAAUUCAAACUCUCACUAUCUUAUCAAGUGAAGGGAAAAGCAGAUCUUACCAUAUUGUUGGAUGCUUAGUAACACGAAAGUUGAUCAAUUGGAGCAAUUGAGUGCUGUACCAACCGCACAGCAGACCCAUAAUAGGCAGGUAGCCCAGUCCGCCAUAAUAUGAAAUUCAGAAAAUAGGCAUGAUAACAAUGAAUUGUGACAGAACUCUUUGGGCUUUAUUUUCUUUUUCGUUUCCAGGAAUGAAGAAAAGUAUUUAUCAAAUUUUAUAGAGGAAAAUAUUGGGGUGCAUUUAGAAAACAAUAUUGUAGGCAAAUCACCCGAGAGCUGCAUCUUCCAACAUAUCAAUGUCGUACAAUGAGGUUAGUUCUGUUUCACCAUGUUCUUCACAAAUAUCGUGAUCACAAGCAUCUUCGACAUAUCCGGAUUGCUUCAUCUGUUCAAUGAGCAACUUCAAUAGAUAAUGUAUUUCCUUGCAUUGAGGAUGCCUUUUAUCUUUCACCAUGAAAACAUGCACACGACCCUGUAUCUCAAUCCAACUGCAACCUGGCUGCUUGAUAACUCCCCGUUGCCUCAUCAGCUUUCUUACUGUUACAACAUCACCCCAUCUCCCGAGCUCGGCGUACAUGUUUGAGAGAAGAACAUAAGGUCCAGAGUUCCUAGGUUCAAUAUCUAAGAUCUUCUCCGCCACAUACUUCCCUAAGGUAAUGUUACGAUGAACUUUACAAGCAGCAAGCAAAGACCCCCAUAUAACAGCAUCAGGUUGCAUUGGCAUGACCUCUAUUAAAUGUUUGGCUUCAUCAAGGCAACCAGCUCGACCAAGUAGAUCAACCAUACAUGUAUAAUGGUCCUUCAAUGGUACCAAACCAUGCUCUUCACUCAUAGAGUAAAAAUAUUCUUUUCCUUCAUCAACCAACCCUGCGUGGCUACAAGCGCAUAGAACACCAAUCAUAGUGACAUGGUCAGGUUGCUCCCCAGAUGCCAACAUUUUUCUAAAUAUUUCGAGAGCUUCAGUCCCAUAACCAUUUUGUGCAUACCCCACAAUCAUGGCAUUCCAGGAGACAUAAUCCCUUUCCAACAUACUUUUAAACACCCGACAUCCAUCUUCAAUGGAUCCACAUUUCAUGUACAUAUCUAUUAGAGAAUUUCCCACAAAAAUAUCAGGCUCUUCCCCAACCUGGAACUUAAAUCCGUGUUUCAAUAAGUGUACAUGAGCCUGCCUGCCAAGCUGCAGAUCAACUAGACUUGCACAAGCAUUGAGUAGAUUCCCAAAUGUAUAGUGGGUUGGCAAAACAGACUCCCUCUUCAGGAGGAGAAAGAGUCCAACAGCCUCUUCAUUUUCCCCAUUUUGUGUGUACCCUGAAAUAAGUGCAUUCCAAGAGACUAUAUUCCUUUCCAUCAUCUUUGCAAACAUCAAUCUUGCAGCUUUUACGCUUGCCGCUUUUGCAUAUCCACUUACCAUUGAUGUUUCGGAGACAACAUUUCUAACAGGCAUCCCAUCAAAAAUCCAUCUGGCUUGCUUUAAUCUAUUGCAUUUUGCAUACAUAUCAACCAACGCAUUGCCUAAAACAAGAUCAUCCCUGUAUUUGUCACAUUUUAUGACAUGAGCAUAUAUUUGCUGACCUUCCUUUAUUGCAGACAAGCUUGCACAUGCACUAACCACACUGGCUAAAGUUAACUCAUCUGGUUUGAACCCACCAUCCAUCAUCCUCACAAAAACUUCUAGGGCUUCACUCGCUGGACCAUUCUGCUCAUAACAAGUAAUCAAACUGUUCCAAGAAACUGUAUUCCGGUCACUCAUCCAAUCAAAAACUCUUUGUGCAGAAGCAACACUCCCACAUUUAGAGUACAUAUCAAUAAGUGCAGAUCCCAUAUAAACAUCUGACGAGUAACAUGACUUAGCAAUAAAAGCAUGAAUUUGGACACCCAUUUUCAACUUUCUCAAACCUGCACAAGCACUAAGAGCACUACCGAACGAGUAUUCAUUAAGCACAAAAUCCUCCACAUGCAAUUUGACAAAGUACUCCAAAGCUUCUUCAAAGCGAUCAUGCUGGGCAAACCCUGAUACCAUCGAAUUCCACGAGCACUGGUCAGGCUCAGGCAUUAACCUAAAAAUCUGCACAGCGUCAUCAAUAAAACCCAACUUCGUUAAUGUACUUAUGAUGGAGUUCCAAGUGAAAGUGUUCCUUUGAGGCAUUUUAUCAAACAAUUUACGUGCAUCGUCCAAACAACCACAUUUUCCAUAAGCAUCAAUAAGCCUAUUCUGGAUAAAAAUCUCUGAGGAAAAUUGGGUUUUGAUGACACGAGCGUGGAUGCGAUGUGCAUCGCGUGCUGACUUGGUUCGAAUGCAUGAAUCCAAGAGCUUCGCAAAGGGUGUAGAGUCGAGGAAAGAGAGGUCACCCACAAGUUGUUUGAACAAUCCAUGUCUAGUUCCCAUUCCAUUAUCUUUGCUACAAUCAAUUAAGCAGCAUUGAAAUGAGAAUACAUGAAUCUAUGUCUCCUACAAGGUGGAAAGAAUAAAUGUAUCAAUGUCAUUUUAAAAUUAACUCAUGAAUGAAGAUUAGAAAGAUUAGAAAGAGUAUGCUAGAGGAAGCAAGAGAGCACAUGUCAUUGUAUUCUUAAUUAUUUGGGAGAAAUUUAAUCACUCAUGAACUGUAUGCUUGAUAUAUACUUGUUUUACUGAAAGUAUGAAAUAGUUGGGUUACAUUGGUUAGACAAAAAAAUGCAGAAGUUGCAAGAAAGAUGAAUGGCUCCAGAAUCAUCACCCAACCAAGACUUGCAGCAUAACAAGACAUAGUAAACACAGUAAGAGCUUAUCUCAUAUGGUAAUACAACUAUUAUGAGUAACUAAGAUAAGAACAUAGCAUAUGCCAAAAUAUUCGUUCGGUUUUUAAAUAUCAAGAUUGCUAAUAACCAUGAAAUUCUUCUCUUAUAUGGUCAAUAUGCAUUAAAAUAACAGCCCAAGUGAACUCAAAUAGGCGUAAAAGGGGACAUUUCCAUAUAAAUGAUUGGCCCUGCCCAAUGUUACAACAAGUUGAUCUUAUUAUUCUAAAAAAAAUCCAACAUAAAUGCAAGUUAGCUGUGAUCAUGAUACAACAAACAAAAGAUAACUGAACUAAUUCAACGAAGAAAUCUAUACAUCUGAUUCUUAGGAAACCACUGAAAUCCAGAAGCUCUGAUACCAUAUUAAAGUCCAACUACUAACAAAACCCGAAAAGGUUGUUCGAGAACAAACCAACACUAAUGGAACUGUGAGAGAUUAAGCUAAAGGCUCAAAUAGUAUUUAGUAUCAGCAGUGGAUUGGGCUUCCCUGCUCCUACUGACAACAACAAAUGUACGUCUGGUUUGCUGAACUUUAAGAGAAAUCCAACCCCCAUAAUUAAGACAACAUAGACAGAACGAACCACCAAUGACAGCCCCAAAUUUCAAACAGAAACUAACCCAGUUAAUGUUUCAGCUUCAGUAGACAAGGAUGAAAUUAUUAAACAGAAAAUUACAGUUCCAUUAAGUCCGGUGUUAGCUUGGGGAACCCAGUGAAUUAAUUAACUGAGAAAAAGAAACGACUUGAUUAACUGCAAUUGAAAGAGAAGCUGACCUAGGAUUUUUUAGUCAGUUGAGAACAAAUAGCAAUUACAGCGACUGCAAUUGAAUAUCCAAAUUCCAGGUUUCAGACGAAAACGACGACAUCACAGCGAGCUUACUUACUGGAGUUGGGACUUCCUUCUUCCUCCUAUCAGAGGAGGGAAGAACCAAUCCAAGGCACAGUUGUCUUAUUAAGUCCUUUUUAUUGGCGCAAAUUUGGGCCCAAACUGUACGCAAUGCAACAACACAAACCCUGGUUUGGUUAUUGUUACUGAAAUAUGGAUGGUGCCGUGACAGUUUGGGGCAUCCCAAAAAUGAGAAAUGACAUCGAGGAGAGAGAAGGAGGAAGCUCACCUGGUGAGAGAGCAGAGAGCAGAAUGAGAAUCAAAGAAUGGGAGCCCAAGGUUUAGACAGGGUUUAGGGAUGAAGCAAUUUCGCCUCACACCGAACAAACGACGGCGUACGACUUUGGUACACCGUCGGAUGGAAUUAACGGCUAAGAUUACUCCCCUCUUGCGCGCGCUUUCUCAACUCGCACCAUUUAUGAUUGUGCAACUUCAUCUCCAUAACCAUAGUUCGAUGUUGUUAUGUAUAUAUGAGUGGCUAGGAGGACAUGACGAAUCACAUAGUUUUUAUUGUAUAUAGCCAAAAUUUAUUCUAUAUUUUCACCAAUGUCAAUUUUUAUAAAAAUUUUCAAAUAUCACGAAAAAUUCUCUUACACAUGCACAACUGUAUACGUAUUGCGGCCAUGGUCAAACUACCGCAAAUGAUGUUCUUUGUUUCUUCUUUUCUUUGACAUUGUACAUUGUAGGAAGUAAGAAUUGACAUAUGCAUCAAUUAAUUUAGGUGCAUUUUGAUGGGGCGAUGGUGUUGAUUGAGACAGAACAAAGCAUAAGAUAUAAACAACAAAGGGUUAAUGACCUAAAUGGUCCUUCAACUAUUGCUCUAGUAUCAUUUUGGUCAACCAACUAAAAUUUUCAUUUGAAACGUCCUUAAACUUUUUAUUUUAUACCAAGAUGAUCCAUCCGUCAAAGUGUGUAUUAUUCCGUGAAAUCGAGGGACAAAAUCGUAUUUUUAGGUGAGUAUCCUCCUUUAAAAGGGUUAUUGAUCCCAAUGGUCCUCCAACUAUUGCUCCAGUAUCAUUUUGGUCCACCAACUAAAAUUUUCUUUGAACCGUCCUUUAACUCUUUUUUUUUUAUUUUUUUUAUAUCAAGAUUGUCCUACUGUUAAAGUCUGUCAAUUUUAUUGUUAAUUUGAGGGGUAAAAAUGUCUCUAUGAAAUAAAAUAGUAAUAUAUAAUUAAAAAUUAAAGGAAACUAUUAUAAAACUUAGAAAAUUUUAAAAAAUUGAAUCUCACAAGCCACAUGCCUUUUUUUUUUUUCCCUGUGAAACUGACCUAACAAUUAAUAAUACAAAAUUCUCUAUUGUUUAAAUUAAUUAAAAUUACAUAAAUUUAAAAAUAAAAUAACAAAUUUUUUAAAAGAGCAAACAAUAAUUAAAAAUUAAAGAAAACUAUUAUAGAAACUUGUACUUAAUUUUAAAAUUGAAAAAAUUGAAUUUCACCACCAACAUGGCUUUUUUUUGCUAACAUGGACUUAAAAAGUACUAGUUUUUUUCUCUCAAUUAAUUAAAAAUUUUAAAAUAAAAUAAAUACAAAAAUAAAUAAAUAUAAAAUUGACGAACUUUGACGGUAGGACCAUUUUGAUACCAAAAAAAAGAAAAGGAAGAACGGUUCAAAUGAAAAUAUUAGUUGGUGGUCCAAAAUGAUAUUGAAGCAAUAGUUGAUGGACCAUUUCAGUUAUUAAUCCUUUUUAAAAAUAAUAUUUCACUUUUUUGCCCUUCAAUUUAACGAAAUAUUUGACAGACUUUGACGGUAGGACCAUCUUGAUACAAAAAUAAAGAGUUAAAGGACGGUUCAAAUAAAAAUUUUAAUUUGUAGACCAAAAUGAUAUUGGAGCAAUAGUUGAGGUAACAUUGAAAUCAAUAAUCCAAACAACAAACCACUUGAAUACUAAGACAGAGAUAACAUUAAGCAUUUAUCCUUAUUCAUAUGAAAGUCGGUCAGAGGUUUCACAUUAAUAUUCAGUGCCUGCUUAGAAACAUUUUACAUAGAGCUACUACUAGCAACAGCAUUCAGCAUUCAACAGCCUGCUUAGAACAAGCCUUUUCUUUUCUUGAAAAGUAAAAUAGAAUGUUGGGCGUAAACGGAGAGGAAAUACGACUUGAGCAUGCUCUCAUCUCAUGGCGCCCCAAACACCUACAAGGCAAAUUUUAAAAAACACAAAUAUAAUUAGAUAGAGAUUAACAAAUUCAUUAAGCAAUGACAAAGAAAAUCAAAUUCAUAGAUCUCACUCUUUUUUUUUAUAAAAAAAGAUAUUCCACUUUAAUCUAAUCUAAAUUACGCAGAAAGUGAUGCGAAUUUGGGUGCAGAAGCACAUCUGCUUUAGCCAACCCUCUCUCGUACAUUUAUUUAAUUUAUGCAAAAAUAAUUUAUUAAAAUUAUAAAAUAAAUAUUUCUGCAUAAAAUAUCAGAUCAUCAAAAGUUGAUGAAACAAAAUGCACAGGAAGAUGAUGGAUUACCAGAAUAUUAUAAAUUAGUCGCUGUCGCUGCUGCUGCUGUCAUGGCCAUCCUUCUUCUUGUCCUUCUUCUUCUUCUUCUUCUUGUCGUCUUUGUCUUUCUCUUUGUGAUCGCCGUCUUUCUUGUGGUGUUCGUCUUUCUUGUCCUUGUGGUGUUCGUCUUUCUUGUCCUUGUGGUGCUCACCUUCCUUCUUGUGCUCCUCGUCUUUCUUGUGCUCGUUACCUCCUCCUCCUAUGUGGAGGGCGUCUCCAAUCUUGUGAACGAUUCCUGCCAUUGUUACUCUCUUUCUCUCUCUAGAAAAUAUAAAUGGAUUUUGAUCUUUUGUGAAGGGAGAGACGUGAAGAUGCCUUUUUAUAAGGGAAACACACAAAACCUUUCAUUUUCCUUUUAUUUUAUUUUAUUUUUUAUUAUAAGGGCCUAUUUGGUACAACGAAGCACGUUUCUUACGACGUUUGGUAGAAAAAUUUGAAAUUGCCUUUGUAGAAGCACCUUGAGUGCUUUUUUAGGAAUUACUCCCAAAUGUUUUUUUUUAAAGGCAUUCUAAUAGAAGCGUAUAUAAAAAUAAAAAUAAAAGCGCUUAUGAGUAGAAUCGCUUUUAUCCAAUUUGAGCGUUGGGCGGUGUAACUGGUUUGACUGAAAUUACAAAAAUGCCCACGGCCAAUUAGGUCCAUACAACGUUUGAAAAUGCGAUAUUAAAGUAAGAGAAAAGAAGAGGUUUGUCUCAGUCUCCAUCACCCGAUAUGCCACAUCUUUCGGAUGUCGGUAAGAUCGUCUUAACUUAAACUAAUUAUAUAUGACUAUUCUUUUUGUUCCCCGUUGGCCAUGUUUUGUCCAUAAUCCAUCAGCCGUGCCAAUUAGGUAUUUGACUCUAGGCCGUGAGUAUACGGUGUCAACGCCAUAGCUUAUGAAGAAUCAUUUAAACAAAAUGACUAAUGCAACAAGCUAUUAAUAAAGACAACAGAUGUCGAAUGGGAUCAAGACGACCUGCCCUAUUAUCAUGUGUAGGAGGAGAACAACUUCCCUCAAUCUGGUAUGUUCGUUGGAGGUUUUUUCGUGUACGAAGGAAUCGAGUCAUCAACCUAUCUUAAUUCUAACUUAUUAACUUGUCUUAUUUCGCUCCAAUUAUUGAAACUUUUUAUUUUCUAUGUUCCCGUCUUUAAACAAAAGCUAUUUAAUAUCUGAAAAUGACUUACAUUAUCUUUGAAAUAUGGUGUUCCUUGCGUUGAAUUAUGUUUGCACCCAAUACUCUAUCGUUUCGGGACUUGUAAGUCACAAGUUUUGAAUUUGGCAUUUGGUAAUUAGAAUUCAAGUGAACACGGUGUUAGCAUAAAACAACAUUUCAAAGCAGUGAAUUUGAAGGUGAAAAAGAAUCGUAGAUUGGGAAAAGCAAAAGCUCUACAAAAAGAUUUUGCCAACACUUUGGAUAAGCAAGAAUCUUUCUGACAUUUUGCUAUCAUAACUUUCAACAACGAUCCUUAAAUAACGCUACUGAAACUUGCGUCCACCCACCAAUAGCAUUAAUCUCAUGAUUUUCACCAGGUAUGAAUCUAUGUUCCAGUGUUUGACACGUGUACGGUGAAUAACUUGCCGACAUUUCAAGUAGCCUUAUCCUGUUGUAAGAAACAUGAUAACUCUAUGUAACCAUCACUUUGGCCCACUGUAUCAAUGUUGUCUUUAUCAUCAAACUUUUUCAGAUAUCCUAUCCUAUCUUAUCUUCAAUGAAAAUGAAAGUUUUUAAUUUUUUUUUUUCUUUCUUGUUCUAGAUACAGACCCAGUAAUUUUAUCUUCUUUUUUGUUUGACUCUUCUGUUUAAUCAAUAAGAUGGCUGAUAGUCUUUCUUCUUCUGAUGUUCUGUUUUUCUCUAAGAAAGUUUUAACCAGGUGGUUUCCGUUAACAUGCUAAUUCUUACCAAUGCAAUAUCAUAUUUUCUAUAAAUAAAUAAAAAAGGACAAACAGAAUUAAGCGAGCAGAAGUGAUGCAUUGAUUAUCAUUGUGUCAAAUUAUGUUAACCUUUCUAUUGAUUUGAAGCGUAAAUUAAUAAUUUUAUUUCUCAAUUAAAAAGUAAAAUCAAAAGUGAAAAAUGAAUUAAGUACGGUAAUGAUCCUUGAACUUGAAUCUGAGUUUGACUUUUUCUUUUGGGCCUCCAAUUCAAUUAUUGAGGUGUCAGUGAAAUUUUACGGUGCCUCAGAGGUGCAGUGGAGGGGAGAUAUGUAGAGCAGUGGAUGAUCAUGUAGAUGCGGUGUAGAUGUGCGGGGUAGCAUGGGCAAAAUUUCCACUUCCUUGAUUUUUCAUUCUUAAAUCUUGUUUUAUACUUUUUUAUUCUAAUUUGUUAUUAAUGCAAGGUAGAAUUACUAAUUUACCCCUGUAAUUGACAAAAUGUUAAGGAAUUUAUAAUCGGAAAGCGAUACACACAUAAAAGUACGAGGACUACAGUUAAAUUCAAGAACUGUAUUGUAGGAUGAAAGUGAGGAUCGGGUACAGAUUCAGUGACCGUUGUCAUAAUUUACCCUUUCAUCUUUAUCAACUACUAGACAUUUAUCACCAAAAGAAUUGAAUUUCUAGGAUUUAUGUACAAACCACAUCAUUUGAUCACUAGGGUGGUGGCCUCAACCCAGAAAUUGGACAAUGGGAGACAAAGGAUGGCAUAAAUAGGUUAUACACAAACAGAAUUACAAACCUCCACAGGAUCCACAAUAGCAACACUCAGUGUCAUCUCAUUGCUCCGAGUAAAUUGGCACCGUCAAGCUUUGCACCUUCCAAAUGCUGUUCAAAACAUAAAAAGAAGAGUCACAUCCUCAAUUUCUUGCCUUGAAAGAUACAACUAUCAACUAUCAACUAAGCUAUCAAGAAAAGAUCUUGGCCUUCUCAACGCUACAAUGGACCUUAAGAUUACGCACAUGUAAAAAUAUAUCUACAAUUUGAGAGUUGAGACGAACAAAAGGAAAGCUAUAAGCCCAGGCAUUCCUUGGUUUUGAAAACAAUAACCAAAAGAAAAAUCACAGAAUGCUGAUCAGCUUUCAUUACCGUAUCUCGAAGAUUCACUUGUCGUAAAUAAGCUCGUUGAAGGUUUGCAUCCUUCAAAUUGGUAUUGCUCAACUUGGCACCCUAUCACACAAAAAAUUCAGCCAAACAAAUCAAUUAUGAGAGCGGUAGGGAGCAGAUUCUUUUAAGAUUCAUUUAUGAAAACAUAAUGUGAUAUAAGAUGAAACUACAGAUUUUUUUUCUUCGAUAUUCAUUUUAGGUAUGGGGUAUUUCUCCAUAACAACCUCUUAUACCAGCUUAUAUGAUUGUCAUAUAUAUGAACAUUCUUAAUCACGGAAUUAAUGUUUCAAAAAAUCAUGCUGAGUUCUUUCUUUCAACAUUAAAUCAAAUAACAUAAAAGAAAUGUGUGCCUCUCACAUGCAAUUAUACACAAAUAUGAUAUAUAUAUAUAUAUAUAUAUAUAGGGAGGAAGAACAAGAACAAAAGUUGGCUCCGUAAACUAAAAGAUAGGUGCCAUAAACAUAUUUCAAUAUGUGAACUCAAUUUAUUUUAUGUCAGCCACAUGAAUACAUUUUUUCAAUUGAGCCAUUUCUUAAAUAUUUCAUUUUAACUUGUCUUUGUUCGCCACUUGUACCCACCCCUGCCCCAUGUACACUCCCUAAUUAAUUUAAAUUGCACUUAAUGAUAUAUUACUCAGGAACCAUUUAUUAACGAUAAGUCCAUCUCACGGAAGCAUCGAGGAAUAAAUCUGGCACAGCUUCUAAGCAAGAGACAUGCAGCACCAAAUUGUUAACUGACUCUUCCUACUCAUGCAACAUCAAUAAAACAAAACUUGUUGCCUACAGCAUGUAGGAAAAAAUAUAUACAAUAUAGUACAUACUAAACCCUAAACUAUUUUCAGAAUUCAUUAAAAGAAAAAUACUAUUUUCAGAGAGAUAUCUGAACAAAGAAACCUACAACAAACAAAGAAAACCUAGAAAAACCAAAAUUCAGAGACUCAGACGAAGAACAAUUUGAAGCUCAAGGACUUUGGGUCAGCAGAGUAGUUUAGUUAGGGAGAGUCCAUAUUUCAAUAUUUCCAAAAGAAGCAACAUCAAUAAAUUCGAAAAAAACAAAAUCAUAGAAAUAUAUAAACAUUAUUAGAGCCAAAUCAAAAGCUGAAUAAACCAAAGAAGAGAGAGAGAAAAAAAAUAUUAGUAAUUGAAGUAUUAAAGUAUUAAAAUAUUUGGCUGUAGAUAUGGGCUGCUUUCUAGAAGAAGUGGUGGGCUAUUAUUUAAUUUUUCUAGAUUGAGCUUACACAACUAAGCCUAAUUUGUCUCUCUCCAAAGUCAACACUGGGCUAAGACAAGCAUGGAUCCGUCCUUGCUCAACAGGGUAUCAAAGUAAUUUAAUAAUCAAAAUUAAAUUCAAUAGGGCCAGAUGUCCUUUUUUGGGUUUGUUUAUAGAAAAUAAAUGGUGUAGGGUUUAUCUAUAUCACUAGUGCUAAGAAUGGUAUUCUUCUUGAAUGUCCCUUCCCUAGUUUGGUUAUAUGUAGGGAAUCAGAAGCAAAAGAUUAUUACAAAGUACAAAAAAUGGGUCCCCAAUCUACCCAUUAAUUGUUUGAUAGAAAAAUGCAGGUCCAUAGAUAAGGAUCCUUCCAUAAAGGUGAAACAAACAAGGGAAUGGAAGAAUCAUUUUUACAUUUCUAUCCCCUUCCCUCUAUUAUCUCAGAGCAAACGAAGCUUUAGAAAAAGGCAAAAAAUGUUUUGGUAGAAAAUGAAAACUAUUCUAAUGGUACUCUUCUCCAAAAAAGGGAGAGCAAAGAUAUCUCCCCUUAUGUUGCAAUGUAUUAGCAAGCCGAUGGAGCUACGUGGUUCAGAAAACUUAGAAUUAUGACAAUUCAUAAGCUUCUUUAGAAGUCAAACAGGAUAAUUGAACUCUCAAAAUCAAUUUAUAGGAACGCUUUUAAUCUCUUAAGCAUAAGAGACAUAUUUCAGACAACGUGUUUUUGUUUGGCACAUAAACUCCACUUUACCUUCAAAUUUGCUCCUUCCAGAAUAGCUCCCUCUAAAUUGGCAUUUGUAAGAUCAGCAUUCUGAAAAAAUAAGAGAAAUAAGUAACAUAUUAUUACCCUCCCUAAGUACCAAAUCCUAAGGCAUCUUGCACUCAUCAACAAACAAACGAUUGAAUGAUUAAUUGUAGUGCGAUCAGCAUGAAAAUCAGGAAAUUCUCUUUUUAUUAUUAUUAUUUUAAACUGAAGUCACACCAAAGAAAACAUUUGGCAACCUCCUAAUACAACAAUAUUGAAUUCAUAACAAUUAACAGAGAGAGCGAGAGAGACACAGCUUUUUUCUUUAUGGCUAUAUUUUUGGUGGACAUCUUUUACUUUCCUUCUUAUUUCCUUCAGUUUCUAAUAGCAUCUUCCUAGUGGUCCUUGUGUUUUCAUGCUCUGUUUUCAUGCUCUCUGACUAUGAGUCAUUUAGAAGGAAACAUCUUAUCUCACAUAUGCAGUAGGUUCCCAUGAUGGACUGGCAUUACUAUAUUGUACAGGAUAUCUUUAUUGUGUAGCUCACUGGCAACGAACAGAAGGAAUCACAUACAAAAGCUCACAAUAAGUAAGCCAAUCAGCCGGUGAAUACGAAUUACAGAAAGGCUUUCUAGACAGAUUUAUCAUUGUGCUCGUUGUAGUCUGAAAUCAAUUAUCUAUGAGUGCCAAAAGCAAAAUCAUGAGCCGAGAUCAUAAAAAGCAUACUGCGAGUAGGAAGUGGAAUUAAUCCUCCCAAAUAAAACCAACAUGGAAUCUGAAAUUUAUGCCGCAAAGGAGAGGAUUGGGAUGUCUUAAAGUGUUCCUAUUUGAAUUGAAAUCUUUAUUUUAAAUUCUGAAGGUUAUCACACCAGUAAAUUCUAAUGCUGAUAGUUCUUCUCAUUCAAAUCUGCAAGAACUAUGCCCGUUGUAAAAUUCAAAACUUGGCAACAGCCGCUGGAAUAUUUCCUGACAGCAGCAGUUUCAAGAUUGGCACUCAUUAUAAACUAUCAAGCCUACUCUAAAGGCUUCUAAGGUUUUCCAGAAUGGUAGACAUAUAUGUCUAAGCUUAAUACCAUAAAUUUUCAGAUUUGUUGGAGUUGUGCUCUUUUUCAAGAAUUUUUAAAAACAUUCCUGUGUCGAUUGAUAAUAAAUCAUAUAAUUUAUAUGAAAUAGAAAAAAAGGGGCAAGAAUUAUAGUUGGAUCCGAAUCCUCUGCUUGUUUUUUAUCUGCCAUGAUCUGCUUGACUUUUAUUAUACGCAUGACACCUCGUUUAAAAUAUAUCUAAAGGCUAAAAAUUGACAACACAUUAUCUUUAAACACUAAAAACAACUUUAAACCUAGGAAGUAAAAAUUCUCUUUAACCAAAUCAGGAUUUCUCCCUCGCUCUGCAGUAAGAACCAAACAAGAUGAUCAAUAUCAAUCCUUAAAUGGGGAAAAAAAGUGUUGGGUCCUUCAAUUUCAAAUAUUUGUUCUUAACAAACACUUCAAUUCCAGUACUUUAUGCUGGAAAAUUAUUGUUGAUUUCAAUCAUAAAAUUUUAGUCGUGUAUUUGGCCAAAUAGGCAUUUUCAAAAUUCUGCAUAUUUUCUGCAGCCAUGCCAGCACCGUCAUGUUCUUUUUCUUCAAUUUUUAUCAAUAUGCUUUGAAAUAAUCUUUUCUUAUGCGAGAAAAGAAAGCUAUAUGUUCAAUGUGUUAGGAAGGUAAUUUCAAUUGUAUGUCCUGAAACUUAGGAGGGUGACACAUAUUGUCCCAAACACAUGAGCAUCAAGAUGAGGAAGAAAAACUUGAUGUGAAUACAGGGAUGACAAUAUUUAUUUUUUCAGUUAUUGUUAAAGGUUUUUCUUUUCAAUUCUAUUCAAAAUUAUGUGGCAGUCUUUUUAGCCAUCAGAUAUAUUUUAAAUGAGGUGUCAUAUUUAGAAUAAAAGUCAAGCAGAUCAUGGCAGAGAAAAAGCAAGCAGAGGAUCCAGAUCCAUUAUAGUUAGCUUGUAAAAGAAAAAUAUAAUGUCCUAUUCACCACCCUCUAGGAUGCAAUUUCAUUCAUGUGCCAAAAUUCUAAGCCUAAAUUUCUAUUUUGCUUUAAUUCGUUAAAAUCCACGACUUUAUUUAGUGGUUUUUUUUUUUUUUUUUGGGUAACAAAAUCUGUAAACAAGACAAUCGAAUGAAGUAGAAAAAUAAGUUUUUGUAAGCUCAACCAUUAUAAUUGACUCUUUAAGGAUAAAAAGGAAAAAGAAUCAAAGUAAUACAGGCAACUGACAGAAUAUAAGACAAGCAGUUAAUUUUGCCCUCAUUAAUGGAAGUAAAUAUGUUCAGCACCAUAGUAAAGAUUCAAUGACGUUAGAUGACUAGUUCAUCUUUCUUGCAUGAAGCUUCACAGACAAACAGUUACUAUCUCAUUAAUGGAUGUUCUGGAAAACCAAGAAGAAAGAUUCAAUGAUGUUAGAUGACUAGUUCAUCUUUAUUGCAUGAAGCUUCACAGACAAACAGUUACUAUCUUAUUAAUGGAUGUUCUGGAAAACCAAGAAGGACAAAUUACUUGAAAAAUAAGUGAGCUACAUAUUUAAAUUGACAAAGGCAGAACCUGUAGGUGUGCAGAACGCAGGUCUGCCUGGCAGAAGCUAGAAUUAAUCAAGCAUGCAUCUGCAAAAGGGUAAAUCAUGAUUAAAAGGAAAAUAAUGAGAGGCGCAUAAACUGACUAGAAGUUAAAAAAAUUAAAGAAAAAAUUAAGUUCAUGUUAACAGAACACAUGCCAAGGAAUUUAAGGCAACAUUAGGAUGGAGCUAACAAAUAGAAUAUUACUAAAAUUGUAUCAGAAUGGAAACAAGUUUGCCUUGUAGAUUUGCACUCUGAAGAUUAGCUCCAGCCAACAAAGCUCCACGGAGAUUUGCCCCAGUAAAUUCACAUCUUCCCUAGGUAAAAGAUAAUUGCAUUAAUCAGGCAGCCCAUUAACAUAUUGUACAUAUUAUAUAAUCAAUAUCACUGCUGUGGAAUUUCAAUGUCAUACUCCCGCAAAGUUGCAUUGUGAAAAUUGGCACCCUCAGCAUCCACAUCCUGUGACAUAAAAUGAAAGCUUCAACAGUCAUGCUGAGGUCAUAAAAAGAAAGGAUAACCCUAUAUACCAAAUAAAAUAAACAGUAGAAAAUCUUUAACUUUAAUACAAGUGUACAAUUAAAACUUUGGAUCGUGGAUGCUAAACCAGGUCGAUGUUCUUUUACAGAAAAUAGAGUGGGUAUUUCUAACAAGAUAAAGCAUGUAUAAACAACAGUAGUUGUUCUCAACAGACCAGAUGUACCAUCUAUCACUUAAACUUACCUUGAACUUAGCACAAUGAAGGUUUGCACGUGAGAAAAAGACAUUUCUCAGACAUGCAUAGCUGAAGUCGACAAAUGAUAGGUCCUGCAAUUCCAUUGAUAAAAUAAGACCACAACAUCAAAGACACAGUAUCAAACAGAGUUUUUCUUGCAUUUUUACCAUCCAAAAGAAGUUCUUAAUUAAACAAAAGAAUCAAUUUCGAAAGUAGCACUCAUAUGCCUCAAUUUGGUAACACAAUUGGCUAAGUUUAAACUGGCUUUUCCAGAGCAGCUUCAAAUAAACUGUAGAAAAGCUGCAGUAAAGUACUUGAAUUCCUUCAGGUCCUGUGUGCUGUGCAGAACAUUUGGUUAAUACCAAUUGUCAUCAUGACCCAAAUAGAUACUACUAGUGGUCUGCUUGAUAUGCUUAUUCACUAGCAAGUGCUUUAAAGCAUGAAACUUUAGUUGGUUUUAAUUUAAAUUCAUAGAAGGGUUAAACAAUCUAGCAAUGAAUGUAAGUGGUUUCAACAUGCUUAAAGGAAAAUUUGUUCAUUCUUAACAUAUAUUCAAAAUGUAAUAAAUUUUGGUUAUAAAAAGAAUGGUACACUACGCUUGAAAGAGGGCAUUGCAGAGAAAAUGCAGAUGCAUGGAUCUCUUUAGGGUGCCUAAACGGAAACUAGCUUAUUGUAGUUUGCAGUUAAAAUGUGUUUUUCCAAAUUUCUAGAAAACAAAUCCUACAAGGCACAAAUCUACUGCUAGAACUGUUUCAGAACUGAGAACCUGAGAAAUUACCAAUUUCGAAAGGUCAAGGCCAGAAAGAUUGACACCUCGAAACCUGACUCUAUCAGACUGUAUACACUUGAUGAUAUCAGUACGUGUUAAUUCUGUAUCUAACUCUUCAUCCUCCUUCUUCUUAUUUAGGAUAGCAUGUAUUCCAUCUAUCAGCCCCUGAAACAUUUUCAUAAGUUCAUAGCAUUGUUGAUACAAGAUUACUGAUCAAACAGAAAGAGGCAGCACCCAUUUCUAAAUAUGGCAGGAUUAGUUGUGAUAGGAGAAAGAAAUGGCAAACAUGUUUGAUGUGUAAAUUUAUCAGUAGAUUGAUGCAUGAAUCUCAGCAUAGGUAUAAACUCCACUACUUCAACGUAGUUAGAGAUGAAGAGAAAAAUACAUAAAAUGGUUUGGAGUUGUAUAGUUGCAAUAUAUAUAUGGAUUUGUUUUAUUGCCGACAGUCUGGAAUAAUAAGCAUUUUAUGUUAAUAGACUGUGAAUCUGAACCAGUAACCACGUUGAUCAUUGUUUGAAUGUGUAGUCCAGAUUCACAGUUUGGCAAUUACGAUGCUUAUGUUGCCAGACUGUAUAUCGCAUGAGAACAUUACCUUAUAUAUCAUAUACACUUACAUAACAAAAUGUAGUUAGAAAAAUGACUCCUUAUAAGAAACCAAGAUUAAUUACAUCACUUGUGUAUUUGAGUUCACUUGGAUAGUAAAUAAGGCCAACUGACCAGUAUAAAAAGACAAGUUGGCAACCACGACAAUUGCUCCUAUGGGCCACACAUGACUAGAAACAAGUAGGAAAUAGCACUACAGGCAUUGAAUAAGUCCCUCUAAAGAGAUCCAUGCAUAUGAUUUUCCUCCGUAGUGCUCUCUCACAAGCCUAGCGUACCAUAUUACCGAAAUUAUGACAUUUUCAAUCUAUAUUGAAUCAAAACUUUCUUUAGCAAACUGAAAUCACUUACAUUUGUAACAGUGACCAUUCAAGUUUAUUUGAACCUCCUAUCAGUUCAAAUGCAAAGGAACUAAAAAUUAAUGAUUUGAAUAAACAAGUAUACAACAUGAAUUAAAGAGCAAUCCUCAUGAACUCCAAAUAUAUUGCCAACUCUUCUAAACAAGAAUAAAUGAAUAUUAAAACCACACUUACAAGAAGUUGAUAGUAUUCAGCCUCCCUAAGAACUUCUGUAUAUUUCGAAUCUUUUAAUGUGGGAACAACACCAUCCCUCAACCAAUUAAGGAUGUGACGGAAAUGUUUGCCAUCCCUAUCAAGAAAUACAUAUCCCUGCAAGAAUAAGAAAGGAUAUAAAAUAUUUGAGAAGUUUUAAUAAAAGGGUUCCCAAAUGAAGGAAUUAACAAUCUUCUAAUAAACGGCAUGAGGAAGAAAAACUUGCUUGACAUAUUAAUAGCUACUUGGUUUAAUUUGAUGCAGAAGUUUACCAUUUCAUUAAACAAUAGGAUAGUGUUUAAUCUAAAUAGACUGAUUUAAAAAUCAAUCUACGCUGAAAUUGAUCCACAUCUUUUAGUCAGGCGACAAUUGUUUAAUAGAAUUUCUCCGAGCUUCAUUCCUCCACAUCUAACAUAUGCUUGGGUUGUUGUCGGGCAAUGGUGAUUAUGGAAAGUUGUUUGUGACAAUGCCAAACUUAACAUUCGAUGAAGAUGCAAGACAGAAAUUGCUCCAACCAAGCAGAAGCAAAUACCUUUUCAGGGUCCUGACACAGAGUAUGGCGACCACUGAACAUAGCAGCCAGCAUGGAAUCCGGCUCACGCUGAGUCAAAGUAUCAAUAGUAGUGCAAAACUUCGUUCCUCCUGUUGACAAACAAUAAAAGCAUACCAAAUUAUGUACCCAAUUCUCAAGUUCUAUAGUAUAGGUACACUAAAAAAAAGUUUAUUUCCCAUAAUUAAUCUACAUCAUCAACUAUUUACAACUUCAAUUUGUUAUACAUACACAUAUGCAUAGCUCUUCCAUUCAAAGGUUGCACUAAUUGCCUUACAUGGCCGAACUUUUUCCCAAUCUCAUCCCGUAGAAUCAAAAUAUUCAAUUCAUUUUCCUUAUUUUGCUUGGUUUUCCCAGUCACCAAAACAACAAAAACAUGUUCUUUUCAGAGACUAGGGAGCAAAUUAAAAUUUAGGGUUACACUUCCAUUUCAGAGCAAUCGAAUCGAUUUAAAGACAUUUUUGAUACUACAAGAAACAGCAAAUUCACAUUAAGAUGGAUUACAACAGAGAGAGGGAGCUGACCGAUGUUGAGGCGAAUCAGAGAGGAGGAAUCAGAGUCAUUCGUCAUUGAUUUGAGGGCUUCGAUGAGGAAAUGAGUUGAAAAUGGCCGUCCUUGUAAUUCAAAGCUCUCAACUUGUGUUUAUUUGUUUGGUUUCCAAAUUAUGGCUUUACUUCAGGUUUAACGUUGAAAUUUGCAGCCUAUUUGGAAUUCAAGUUGGCUGUGCUUAGAGCAAGUCCAGCAGCAAGGCUGGACUCGGGCUGGGGGGGUUUGGGAAAAAAAUGGGUUUCCAGCAGUAGAAGGCAGCCCGGGCAAGAGGUGGGGGCCACGAGACUGGGCUGGCCCGAGGUGGAGUUCGGCCCGAGCAAGCGCCCGAGGGCGGUGACGUCAUGGGUGACGCAAAUCCUCUUAUAUUUUCUUCUCCUUAUACUAUUAUUCACUUUCUCCUUAAUAUUUAUUCACUUUCUACUCAAUAUUUUUUCACUUUCAAGUUGUAUUUUUCUUUAUCAUAUUAUGGGUUCUUCUACUGAAAAUGGAGGGGCAUGGAGCAUGAUGGAAGAUGUUAGCUUGUGUGAGGCUUGGGUCCAAGUUAGUCAUUGUCCCGUAACGGGCAAUGAGAUUAAAUUUUCUCAUAUGUGGACAAAAAUUCAUCAAGCAUUUUAUGAAAGGGCAAUUGGUUCGACACGUACAGAAAUGACAUUAUCCAGUAGGUGGAAAAUUCUUAAUAAAGAGUUGGCGAAAUGGAGAAAUGCCUUAGCAAAAGCGAUGAACAACCAUCGAAACGGAGAAAACCUUUGCAGUGAGGUAAAUUAUUUGUCAUUUUCGUUCUAUUAAUUUCUAUGUCAUAUUAAUUUUUAUUUAAAUGUUUCUUGCAAUUUAUAUAUUUUGUUAAUAUGUCUCUAUUUUUUUUUAUACAUGUUGCAUUUUUUAAAAAUUUAUUGAAUUUGCAUGAGAUUUUUUUACAUGUUGCAUUGCCAAUAUUUUUUAAAGUUUCUUGCAUUACCAUUUAAUUUUUUUUAUAGAUUAUGCAAGCACAAAUGUGGUUUGGUGUUACUGGGCAAGGGAAAAAAAGUUUCAACCAUACCCAUUGUUGGGAGGUGGUGAAGACUUGUAAGAGAUUCCAAAUUAUUCCAACGGGUCCGACGGUAGUCUUGAACGAGACUCCACUUCAUGAGACGCCGGUAUCGGCUUCACCUAUGGAUUCCCCGAUGAGUCAAGACUCACCCAUUGAAAAGGAGCCAAGGCCUAUUGGGAGGAAGGCGGCGAAGGCGAAGAGAGGGAGUAAUUCUAGCAAGAAUGCAUCUAAAUUUUUGGAGGAACUUUCAAAGCACUAAGCCAUGAGAAUUGAAAUGGACUUGAAACAACAAGAGCACGAUAUGGCUAUUCAACUAGAAUAUGCAAAAGAAAGGGAGUAUGUACGCAAAGAAAGGGAGUAUAUACGCGAACAAAACAUUGAAAAAAAAGAUCGGGAAACCAUGGCCAUAAAUACAAGCCAUAUGUCCCCUGAAACAAAACAAUUUUGGAAGUUAGAACGAAGGGAUGUUAUGAGACGAAGACUUUUUCGUGACGAUGGACCUAGCAAUACGGAUUGGUUAAAUGAUGAAAAUCAUUAAAAUAGUUUGCUUGCCUUUCAUGUCUUAGUUUACUUGCCUUUGAUUUCAUUGUAUUUUUUGUUUUGUUUAAUUCAUGUAUUUUAUUUUAUUAGUUGUAUUGCUUUUCUUUUAGUGAAUAAAGAAAAUAUUCAACAAAAAUCCUUUUUAUUCAAAACAUUCUAUACAUAAAAAACAAACCACAACUAAAGCAUAAAAAAUAAACAAACCACAACCAAAGCAUAAAAAAUAAACAACCCACAACCAAAGCAUAAAAAAUAAACAACCCACAACUAAAAAUAAAUAAAGCAUAAAAAAAAAAACAAAGCAUAACUAAAAAUACAACAUAAACAUAAUAAAUUAAAAAAACAUCUUCACUUCACUUCAUUCACCUUCAUUGCCUUUCACCGCCCAUAAAUGCUCCAUCAAGUCAACUUGACGGCGUUCAUGAAUAUACGACGAUUGCAUCUCCGUGUAGCGAUCAAUCAUACGGGGCAUGAAACUACCGUCUCUAACCAACGGUUCAUGCUGCACUGGUUCUCCAUUUGGACCCACUGGUGUUUCAUAAAUUCGUGUUAGGGCUGUGUCCAUGGGAUUUGGUUCAUACACUUCAUCAGCAUCGUAAUCAUAUUCAUCUUCUACAAUCAUGUUAUGGAGGAUGAUACAAGUCAUCAUUAUACUCCUAAGCACCUCCUCGUCAAAUAGACGUGCUGCGCCCUUGAUAAUAGCCCACCGGGCUUGAAAGAUACCGAAGCACCUCUCAACAUCUUUUCUAUACCCCUCUUAAUAGCGAGCAAAAAAUUUUUGCUUAUGGGAUCGGGGAUGUGGAAUUGUUUUCACAAAUGUUGUCCACCUCGGGUAGAUGCCAUCAGCUAGAUAAUACCCGUUCUGGUAGAUGGUACUGUUGAUUUCAUAUGUGAUAUUUGGGGCUUCACCUCUCAAAACAUCAUUGAACACCGGGGAUUGACCUAGGACAUUCAAAUCGUUUUGAGAUCCGGCAACUCCGAAGAAGGAGUGCCAAACCCAUGUAUCAAAACCAGCAACUGCUUCCAGGAUGAUACUUUUUUGCCAUUUUCUAUUUCCGUAAUCCCCUUGCCAAGUAGUUGGACAAUUUUUCCACUGUCAGUGCAUGCAGUCAAUGCUACCAAUCAUGCCAGGAAAUCCUCGAGACUCAGCUUUUUGGAGAAGCCGUUGCAGGUCCAUGGGCGUAGGUCUGCGUAGGUAGUCUCUGGUGUACAGAGUUUCCACUGCAUCACAAAAUCGCACCAAGCUCUCCAAAACAGUGGACUUCCCCAUCCGGGCAAUCUCAUCCACCUGAUCAGCAGAUGACCCAUACGCCAACAUUCGUAUCACAGCUGUGAACUUUUGCUCUGGAAGAAGUCCCAAAUUUCCAGCACAAUUUCUCUUUUGAACAAAAUAUUCAUCAUAAUUGCAAAUAUCAUGCAUGACUUUAUUGAACAAAUGGGGUUGCAUUCUAUAUCUCCCUCGAAAAUAAACAUCAGAGUACAGAGAUUGUGGGAUAAAAUAAUCUUCCAUAAGAUUCUUACCCCGAGAAUGUCUAUGUCUAUCCACAUUCGGGCCACGGCCUUCUCGUGAACCACGACGACUCUGGUUUUCUUCCUCCAGCAAAGUAACUGCUGCCAAGUUGCUCAUCUAGUUCUCUCUGCGCCCUUUUGCUUGCAGCUCGUCUACGCAUUCUUUCUCUAGUUUCUCGCUCUUGCCUCUCCAAAACCUCUUGCAUGUCUGCCAUUGAGAAUAGAGAAUGAAAUCUAAAAUAUGAGAAAUGGAAAUGUAGAGAAGAACUGGUGUGAAAGGUAUGAGCUGAACCUCUGGUUUUAUAGAAAAAUUUAGACAGAUAGAUAUGACACGCGGCGCAAUCUUAGAGGGUGAAAAUCUUAUCUGAAAUUUUAAAUUCAAAUGAAAUUUGAAAUUUGAAAUUUAUCUGAAAUUUGAAUUUUGAAAUGUAUCUGAAAUUUGACAUUUUGAAUUUAUCUGAAAUUUGAAUUUUGAAAUUUAUCUGAAAUUUGAAACCAAAAAUCUUAUCCAAUAUGAAUAGUAUUGACAUGUAGGAAUCCAAAAAUCUUAUCCGAAAAUAUUAUCCAAAUUAAUUGUUUAAGUAAACAAAGUUGUGAAAAAAAAAAACAAAAAAAAUGAAUAGUAUUUGCCAUGGCAAGCCUAAAUUGCUGGAAACACACUUUGCUGAGGGGGCCUAGGGCAGCCACUAUUCACGUGAAUAGUAGCUGCCCUAGGGCUCCCCUUGCCAUGGCAAGGAGCUAACUGGUGGAAAUGCUCUUAGAGUAACGAAGAGAGAAUAAACAACAAAGAAAGUAACUAUUAUUAUUUUUAAUUUCUACUGUUUUUAAAAUUUAAUAUUAAAUCUAAGAUUGGAAUACAAGGUUGAAGGAAAAAAAAAGAAAAAGAAAAUUGUUACUCCCAUAUAAUAGUUUAGUAAUAAGGACAGAAAUCCUCAAUAGUUUAUAUUUUAUAGUAUAAAUACUAUAUUCAUGAACAUCAACUUAAAUUAUUUUUCUUUGGGCUGCUUAGAUCUAAGUUCAAAACAAUUAGUUGUCAUUAUGUUUAGUCUACGCGUUUUUAGUUUUGGAUGUAAGUCCUUUGACAUUUAUGAAUUUUUUUGUUGUAUCGAUUUUAUCCUUUGAGGUAAAUAAGGAAAACACAUUGAAAAUUUAAAUUUUGAAUUAUUUCCUUUAUAAUAUUUACCUAAUAUAAGAAUAAAAUACAAUUUAAUCAAUGAAAAGUAAAGACACAUUUUUUGUUAUUAUUAGUAACGAAAAAAACUUAGUAAUAAAUCGUGUUACCUAUAAGUUAGGAAUAUAAAUUAGAAGACUACCUAUAAGUUAAGAACAUAAAUUAGAAUAUUACUUAUAAGUCAGAUACAAAAAUAGACAAAUAAAAUUGUAUGUUACUAUACAAAAAAUGUACAUAAAAUACUAUUACACAUUGUCGUAAAUAUGAAAAAACACACAUAUAUAUACCUAUGCAAUAUGCAAUAUGACAAUAUACCUACAUCAUAGAAUAAUAUAUCUACAAUAGUACAUAAUAUACCUCUACUAUAGAAUGAAAAAGAAUAAAAAUUGCUACAUAAACUCAUAUGCAUAAACUAAAACACCUACUAUAUACCAAGUUGAGAGCAUAGAAAAACAUACAUAUGUUACUUUACCUACGCAAUAGGAUGGAUAUGGAUAUGGAUAUUCAUAUCCAUUCCUGUAUUCGAUUUCAUUGGAAGAAAGAAGAUCGAGCUUGGAGUGCCCAUUUAUCAAGACCUAGAGAUGUGUGUGAUCAUUAUGGCUUCUCUGGAGUGAAUGGAAAUUGUAUUGCUAAGAAUUCAGUCUGUCAAUGUCUAAAAGGAUUUAAGCCGGGGGUGUAUUCAAUUAGGAUUUUAAAAGACUAUUUUGGGAUAAAUAAGUCUUGUGGAUUUUAAAAGACUAUUUAGGAAUAUAAUGACUUAUACGAUUUUUUUUUAAAGAUUUUUUAUGUUUGGAUUUUAAAAGAUUUAUAUCAUAAGAAUUUAUAAAAUUUGAAAGGACCACAUGAAUUUUUUACUUUUAUGAUGCUAACCAACCAACUUAUUAGAUGAUGAGCAAUGGUAAUAGUAUAAUAGUUCAACCAAAUUAUUCAAUAACAAAGAAAUGAUAAUUUUAAUAAAGAAAAGUAAAACCCAAUACAAUUUUCCCAAUCUUUUAAUAGCCAAUUUGAUGUAGCUUCAUGUCCUCCUAAAUAGCAUUUCUCCAUAUAUCUAAAGCUAUGUUAGCCCUCCACGCAUUAGCAUCUUCUUGUUGCUGCUCUUGGGUUUGAACAAUAGGUUCAAAAUUAUCUUCUUCAUUAACUGGUAGUACUGGAGAUGAAGAUUCACCUAUUGUUUCAAUUGGAAAUUCAUCAGAACGACACUCUUUGCGAAGAAAGUUAUGUAGUGCUACACAUACUAACACAAGCUCUGCUUGUGUCUUAAAUAGAAAUGGAGGCGUUGACUUAAAAAUUGUAAACCGCGAUUUAAAAAUGCCAAAUAUCCUCUCGACCACAUUCCUCAAGGAUGCAUGGCGAAGAUUGAAUAAUUCAUUUCCAUUUUGAGGGUCAUUACCAUGACCUGUAAAAUCUUGGAGAUGAUAUCGCACACCUCGAAAUGGAGCUAAAAAUUGGCGUCGAUUAGGAAAUCCACAAUCCACUAGGAAAUGUUUACCUAAUUAUCUAUACAAUACAUAUAAAAUUAGUAUGAAAAGUUAUAAAUAAAUAAAACAUAUUUAUCAUUUAAAAAAUAAGUACUUACCUUGGGCCACUUUAAGUCCAUUCCUCCUUGAUAAAGCAUCAUUUAGUAGCUUGGAAUCAUUAGCUGAACCCUCCCACUCGCUAAGAACAUACAUGAAUUCCAAAUCAAAAGUUACAAGCUGCUAAUACAUUUUGUGAUAUCUUUCCAUGACGAUUACGGUAACUGCUUGCAUCCCGUCCCCUCACCAUUGCUGGUAUAUGUGUACCAUCAAUAGCUCCAAGCAAUCCUAAAAUUAUUCAUAUAUAACAAUAACCAUAUUAUGAAAAGUACAUAUUAUAAUAAUGACAAUUAUAAUUAGAUAAUUAUCACAUACCUUGAAAUAAGGGUAAAACCUUGUGCUUUCCCUUAUUUUAGCGGGCACAGUCGGUCCUGGUUUAGCCAUCAAAUCAGAUGCUAUUGAAUUCAAGGCCUUCAAAAUCUUGUGAAAAUUUUUACUUGCGGCAAAUUUUGGCCGACGAUUUGUAGGAACAAUACAAGCAUUUCUUCAACACAAAUAAUUCUUGUAUCCUCCAAAAGUGUUUUUCCUCUAAGAAUUGUGCAUAAUUUCCGGAAUACAUCUGGAUACAUUCUAUAUACUUGUUGGAAGAUUGCAGGAUCAUUGUUCAAUGCUUGAUGAAUAUAGUCAUAUCCAAUGCUAGUAAUUCGCCGUCUGGUUAAUGUACGUUCAAUAUGUUCACCACGCAUCAUAAUCAGAAACUGAUUUAGCACAUGCAUUAAUGCAUAAAUUGCCAUAACAGAUAUGUACAUGGCUUCAUAAAAUUCUUCAUCUAUUUCUUCAUCAUUCAUAUCUUCGUCAUCCAUUUCGUCUUCACCUAUUUCUUCAUCAUCAAUUUCUUCUUCCUCCAUGUCAUUACCUUCAUACAUGCUCGGUUGUGACAUUAUACGUAUAUAUAAAAAUAUACGAGACUGCAAAACAAUAAAAAGAAGAAAAUAAAAGCUGUAAAAAAAAAACCUAAAAGCUGUCCAUGUUUACUAAAAGCUGUCUUUCUCUUUAUAUAUGUGAAAAAAACUAUAAUAUAUAAGUGAAAAAAACUAAAAGCUGUCUUUCUCUUUACCAAAAAAAUUAUAAUAUGUAUGAAGAAUAAUCACAAGAAACCGUCCAUAUGGGCUAAGAAAAUCAAUCUGGAAGGAUAAGAAUUGAGCAAGAGAAUCCCAUAUGAAGAAUUAUCACAAGAAACAAAUUAUCAAGACCAAGAACAUUAGGCAAAUAAAAGGGACUGAUUCAAAUAAACGCUGACCAUUAAAUCAUUAAAGACAUAUCCAUAGUACAACCAAAAUAGUUUAAUCAAAUUACAAUAACAAUAGUUCAACCAAAUUAUAAACCAAACACUUCAAUCAAAGUACAACCAAAAAAGCACCAAAAAAAAAAGUUCAACAAAACCCAAGAUGAUCAAAAUAUUAAUCAUCCUAACUUGAAGUUUAUCCAAGAUGAGUGCUCUUCCAAUGACAUCUUCAAGAACAAGUCCUUUUUUGCUUUAGUAUUAAGCAAAUCACCUGCCAUGUAAUGAGUAUUGUCAUCCAAAUUUGGAAUCUCUUUUAUAGCAUCCCAAAUAUUACUUUUUCUCUCUCUUUCUCUUUUCUCUAUUUCAUUGAGCUCUCUAUCUCUCUCUCUUUUCUCCAUUAGGUUAGAUAUUUUUUCAAAAUUGGUAGAAGUAGUCUCAAUGCCAAUAGAAAGAUUUUCUAGAACUUUGGCUUGAUUGUUGGUCCCAACUGAUCUAGAACUCCCUUCAUACUCGGAUCUAUUUCGCUUAUUGCGGCUUGAUUUUUUAGUGGGAACCUCCGAACCUAAAGGGGAAUGAGAUGGUGGACUGCAUUGGCGGGGUAAUGGAGGCUGGUAGGAUGGUUCAUAGUGAUUUGGUGCUAUGAACGCAUCAUUGUUAGGAUCAUAUGAAAAGUCUUCCAUCCCAAAAUCUCUAUUUUCUUCACCAUAAGUUGUUGCAUCGGUAUCAUCAGCGCCUAAUGCAGUGGAACCAUUCCCAGUAGCAGUUCCACUCCCAACGACAAUCUUCAAAUCCUCAUAAUCAACUACACUUUUUUCUUUAAGUUUACUGUGACUUGGGUGGGACUAGCAAAGAACAAAUUAUUCAUUGUUAAUAUAUUGCAAAUAACAUAAUGUACUAAACUAGUAAGCUAUUAAUAUAUUUAAAAGAUUAUCAACUAAGCUCGCCUUCAAGUAAUCUUUCCAUACUUCCUCACUAGUAGUGAACGUCUUUGCAAUUGGGUCCUACCCAAAGCCAGAGUUGUUACGCAUAAGCGUCGACAUCUUGUUAUAUUGCUUCUUAAACCACUUCAUUCGACUCAAAUAAUGAUUAUAAGUUUUAGGGAACCUAAUUUUCGCAUUAAGACGAGGAAGUAUCACUCUUUCUACAUUUUGCUUGCUAAGUGAUCCAUUAGCAUCACGCAAUCCACUAUUGAUAGCAUCCACCAAGAGAUGCAACAACUCAUUGGUAUCGUCCAUGGUCCAAGAUUCAUAGUUCUCUUUCUCUUUGCCCUUUCCUUUGUUAUUUUCUUGUUGUGAAUCCCCCAUUAAAUUACUACUACAGCAUAUGUAAGAAAUUUAUUAGUUAUUUCACAAGAAUACAUAUCAUUCCAAACAAGAAAACAAAAGAAAAGAAUUUCACUCAUGUUUCCUAUUUUCUAUUUCCUUUCUAACUUUGAUAAACAUUAAUGGCAAAUCAGUUGAUAAAUAAUAAUUGUCCAUGUGUAUGUGUGUCGGGUGUUAUAUCCAUAAACGAAAACUGUUGUUAUCAAUUUUUUGAACUGUUGUUAUAUUCCUAAACGAAAAAAAUUGCUUCCAGGUACAACAAUAAUAAGCAUAUUGAUUUCAACUAACUGUUUAUUUUAUUUCAUUCUUGAGUGCUAUUUUAUUAUUAAAGUCAUUGAAGAAAUACAAACUAUUAUAUAUAUUAGUUGGAUACCAAGAAUGAAAGGGAGUUCUGGAAGGUGUGUGUCCACACAUGUAUCAAACCUAAUAUAUAAAGUCAGCCAUGGCAAGAUGUCAGCAUGGUUAAUGGAAGUAGAAGUCCCUUUAUGUAUUAGUUGCAGCCAUGGCAAGACGUCAGUAUGGUUAAUGGAAGUAGAAGUCUAUAAAGUCAAUCUCUUGGUCCUCGAUAAAGUUAUAGAAAACGAAUACAAAAAUUUACCAGCAAAGAAAAAAACAAAGACAAAAACAAGACGCCACAUAUAAACAAAUUUUCUGUUUUGUACAUAAAAAUAAAAAGAUGCCAAUUGUUACAGACAAUAAACGCAAGAAGACAUAGCACAAACCAUAUACAAGCAUGGCAUAUAUUUGACACAUACAAUAAACGCAAGAAGACAUAGCACGAGAAGGAAGCAAUACCUUAUUCACGAAGAACUGUUCAUCUUCUCUCGCAGAGAAAAAAAAAUCUCACGUGAAAAGUCUGAUGGGUUAUGGUGAGAUUUUUUUUAGGGUUUGGUAUUUAUAUCUCCCACUUAAAAGUCACACAAAUUCCUUCUUUAAAAAAAAAUCCUUCGAAAUUAGCAAGUUUUUGAAUAUCAAAAGACUUUUUGUUACUUGUUUAAAGUCUUGAUUGAAUACCACUAGAUUUGGACACCCUCUUUAAAAAAUCCUAAUAGUCCUUAUUGAAUACCACAAGACUUGUUUAGAUUAUUGAAAAGUCUUAAUUGAAUACCACAAGACUUAUUUAUCCCAAAAUAGUCUUUUAAAAUCCUAAUUGAAUACACCCCCAGUCUCAAGAAAAAUGGAAUUUGGUGGACUCGUCUCUAUAAUGUGUGCGCAAUAAACCCUUAAGCUGUCAGAAAACAAAUUAAGAUGGAUUUCUCAAGUUCGUUGGCUUGAAAUUGUCAGAUACUAUGCAUUCUUGGGUGAACAAAAGUAUGAAUCUCAAGGAAUGCAGAGCCGAAUGCUUGAACAACUAUUAAAAUAAUAAAUUAUGUGAUUUAUUAACCUAUGUAUAUCCCUAUACUAAAAUCAUAAUAAAAUCUUGUAAUUAUUGUACAAGAUUUAUACUCUAGAGGCAUAAUAGGAACAACCAGAAAAUUUAAAAAUAAUAAUAAUAAUAGAUCUAUAUAAUAAAAUAUUAGCUUAUUUACACCAAUGCCUCUUGAAACUACGGUCAAAUCUCACUUUGCCCCCCAAACUUAAAGUGGCCCACUUACCCCGCUUCACUGUGGUUUGGUGACCCACUUUGCCCUCUGCCGUCAACUUCAUCCAAAACUCUGUUAAAACUGAUGACGUGGCAUGGGCUUAUUGGUAAUUUCAUAAACAUGGAUCAUUACACCAAUUGAGUGGGUGAUGUGGCAAGUGGAGGCCACCUCCACAUAGAUUAAAAAAUAAUUAAAUAUUUUAAUAACUAAAAAUUAAAAAUUAACUUAAAAGAACAACUCAAAAACCUUCUUCCAAUCCUCUCAUCUAUGCACCCCAAACCCAACCCACACCCAUCUACAGCCACCAUCACUCCACCAUCUCUUUUCACAAACCCAACCUAACCCACCACCAUACUAUCCUUUUCCGCAAACCCAACCCCACCCAGCACCUUCAACCACUCAGCACGACAAUGGAUUGAGCUUGCCCCCAAAAACCCCCAAAUCAAAAUUUUCCAAAAUGAAGAAGUCGAUAGCGUCGGGGUGGGGUCAAGAUCUGAUUUUCUGGGGUUGACCCGAGCAGAUCUUGGGAUGGGGCACGAUUGUUUUGGAGUCAAAGUUGUAUGAGCCAAUUUUGGGUUUUUAAAUUGUAUGCACUUGUAGACUGCCAUUGUUGUGUUGGUCUCUUAUGUUCUCUUUGGUGCCGCAGUCAUCUCAUUUUUGUCCUUUUUUUUUGUUCAUUCUGCUAUGGUGUUUGUGUUCUUCAACAAAUGAGAAAGUGAGAGAAAGAAUGUAGAGAGAGAGAUAGAGAUGGGAGAGAGUUGGGGGGAGAGAGAGAGAGAGAGAGAGAGCUGUGAAGAGAGAAAAAUCAAGAGGGGGGAGCAGGCCAUUGUUGUGUUGGUCUUCUAUGUUCUCUCUGGUGCCGCAGUCAUCUCCUUUUUGUCCUUUUUUUUCGUUCAUUCUGCUAUGGUGUUUGUGUUCUUCAACAAAUGAGAAAGUGAGAGAAAUAGUGCAGAGAGAGAGAUAGAGAGAUAGAGAUGGGAGAGAGCUGGGGGGAGAGAGAGAGAGAGAGAGCUGGGAAGAGAGAGAGAUCAAAGGGGGGAGGGGGGAGUGGAAUUUGGAGGGGAAGGAGGAGGAGGGAGAUAUGAAGGGGAGAUGAUGACUUGCAUGUUUUUUUCUUUUAAUUAUUUUCAUGGUUGUUGAAGAAAGGAGGAGGAGAGGGAGCGAUUUGGAAGAAAGAGAGGGGGGCAAUGGUUGGUGCGGCUGGGUAGGGGGAUAGGUGUGGGUGGGAUAUAGGUGAGAUGGUUGGGUAAAGAGAGAGAAAGAGAUAGGGAGAGAUUCCUUCCCAUGUCGUUUCCCAAUGGAUGAGAAAUGGAAGAUUCUUUUCCCACGUUUGGGAAUGUUGGGAAAAUAACAGGGAGAUAUCACUUUAUUUCCUUUCCCAUGUUUGUUUAGAGGAGGAAUAGAAAACAAAGUUGUAUAAUUUUCUAAUUAUACCCAUAUUAAAUCAAAUUUAAAACAAAUUGCCUUUAAUAAUAUAUUGUAAUUCUAAAUUGUUAAUGGGGACAAAAUGGUCAUGAAAAAUGUGUAUUUAAUGUUGGCUCAUUUUCCCCAACUUUUCCAUGAUGAGGGAAAACAGAAUCCAAAUUGCGAAGAGGGCUUCACUUUCACCCUACUUUCCUAUGUGCUAAGCAACCAUUUCCUAUGAGUGAGACUUAAACAUGAGAAAGCAAUUGAUUUUCCAUCCACAAACCUCAUUUCCCAUUAACCAAAAGGGGCCUAGGGAAUUAAAAACUAAGUAGGACCCACACAAAAUUAGGAAUUGAAAUCCUGAUUUAGGAGGAAUUCAAUUCUUAGGUAGGAGGUGAUAUUCUAAUUCUUAAAGAGGGUUCAGGAUGCACAAUGUUAGAACACACACAAUCCAACAUCAAAUCUGUGUGGCCUCAGGCCUUACAGAAAUCCUAGGGCAAUAUUAGAGCCUACUAAUUAAUUUAAUUUACAAAAAUAGUACGGCUACAGUAGAAUAUCCUACAUAAUGGAAGUGGACAAGUGGUGGGUGAUGAAUGCUCGGUGGUGGUGCUCCAGUACUCGAUUACUACCUAGGGGCACAAAACAUUAAAAACGUGAGUGGACAAAAGAAAGUUUUGCAAAAUAGAAUAUCAACUACUAACCCCACUGUUAAAACUAUUUAAAAAUUCAUUUCAUCCAUGUUCUAUAUUUAUCCUAUGGUGGUUUAAAAACCUUUUCUGGAAAAUUAUAAUACUAUUUCUCAUUAAAUCCUUAAAUAAUGCUACCAUUUCCUUUUCUACUUUCCAAGCCAUUCACAUUUAAUCAUAAAUACAUUUUUAUAAAAGCAUUUGAAUUCAAACUGUGUGCUUGGAAAGCAAAAGCCAUAAUUCAUUCAUGAUCAAUUAAUAAAACUUUAGUCACUUUCUAUUCCGAAAGGAUUUCGGGGGAAUGAGUGGCACCAUUGAUUAGAGUUCCCUCUCACGAGUUCGUAGGCACGUAGUGGGUUCGAAUCGGAGUUAUAACGAAGAAGUUGUGGUCGACGGAAGUGCAAUGGCACAACCGUAAAUUUUUCAAAGUUGGGUUUUCAAACAAAACAGCUCUCUCUCUCUCUCUCUCUCUCUCUCUCUCUCAUUUCUGUCCUCCCUCGUGCGCUCUCUUUCGCAUUCGCAAAAACAGACCGGCCACUUUGACUUGCGUUUUCUCCUUCGUCCGGCCACGGCCUGUGACGCUACAACCCAUAAAACGUUCAUCUCUUCAUUAUCUACAUGUCCAUACCUAUUUCCACCUUUGAAACUCCAAGAUUGGUUGCGAUUUUGGAGUGGAACAGAGUGAAACCCUCGUUUUGUAACCUGCUGUGUUUGUGCAAUUUCUGGCGACUUCGGUGGCCAAAAUCGUCGAACUAUGUAUGAAACUUCAUGUACUUUUCGUGCUCUGCCUUUUUGUACUUGGUUUGGGCUAAUUUUGAGGUUUUAGAGAUCGAUUUCUAACCCCCAAUUAUGCCGACAGUUUCGGCUUCGAUCGGGCUAGUUCUGGUUAGUUUUUGGCCUUUGUCCAAGAACAAAAGUUGAUCCCCUAGGUAGUAUGAUUCUAAUGGUAUGGAUAUUGACCUGCCGCAUCCACUUGCUGCAGACGAUGGGUGGCGGUGUGUGGACCACUUUGUGGCAGCCCAUUAGGUUAUAAAAUGUUCCCAUUAUCGUCCUGAGUACGACGGUAUGCUCAGAUUUGGAAUUGGUUGUUGUUUGACUAUUGAACGAAUAUCGCACCUAUUAUGCGAUAUCCUAGUUCAAUAGGUUCGGACUGUUUGAUUGCCCCAAUUUCAAAUAUGUUGUUCCCUGCACCUCUUGGAUCGUGUCAGAUCUUGCGGAUUGAGAAUCGGAGUCCCGGAUACUUCGAUUCAAUGAUUCUAAGGUUAGGCGAAUCGAUCGCCGUCCGAUCGUGCGAUUGGCUUACAUUCGACCACUCAAUAUAGACCAAACUUACAAGACUUGUUGAGUGGACUUUGUUGGACCCAUAGGAAUUUUCGGAUCGAAAAUCGUAGACUGUGGGCCUCGCGGGCUCAUUUGACCAAUUUGGGAAGUUUGAUCACCUGUUUGACCGUAAGUGUUCCGAGGAUGUUCCACCUUUCGAAAAACUUUAGAUUGGCCUUAGAAACUCUCAUAUAGUCAUGCACACUUACUUUGAGACCCGAGAACUAGCGUUUUGAGUUAAAGUUCGUUAUUGGGUGCGCGUAUUAAUUAGCUCGUUUAUUCUCUCGAAUAGGUACUCCUGCUUUACGUAUUCCAGAGGAAGAGCCAUCUCAGGAUUGAGCAGCAUGGACUUGUUGUGAGUAGAAAUUGUUUCAAAUGAGCAUUAUUUUUCCAAUAUGGAAGUACAUGCAUAAAUGAGAUUUGAUUUAGAACUUGGCUUGUUUGGUUUAUUGGGAUUUGACAUAUGUGUUGACUAUGAUUUUAUCGGAAUGUGACAUGGGUUUUCAGUGGAUUAUUAUUGUUAUUAUGGAUAUCAUCAAAGGAUAUAGAUUGUCUUGUAUAUUUAUAUAAUUUGGAUUAUUUGGAUUAUUGAGUUUAUGAAAUUAUAAUAAUGUUUAUUUUGGUGUUUAUGAAUAUUUUGGGUUAUGGAAUUUAUGCUUUUGAGAGUUUGAUAUCUACAUUACGUAUAAACAUUGGGUAUUGAGUUCUGGACGGUAUUAUUGUUUGGAUGUCUAUGUAUAUGGGUUUAGGUACAUUGGGAUAUCUUAGUUUUAAAGUCGAUUUUGUUAUAUAAAUAUGUAUAUGGGUAUUUGUGUGGGUACAUUUGUGGACUUGUUUCCAGGUUGAGUUUUCUGAGCAUGUGCAUUAAGACUACUUUGCACAUGUAUGGAUUUUUUAAAUGAGGUUUGGAUUUGAGAUUGGGUAUUUACAAAUUAUUUGACAUUUUAUGUUUGCAAGCAUACGCCUAAGAAAGGGUAUGGUCGCGGGAGAAAAAUGAUAUUUUGGGUUUUGAUGUUUAUAUUUUACAAUACAGACUAAAUGAUUAAGCUCGUGCUUUCCAAGAAAGUGAGAAGUAUUAAUUAAAUGGAUUUCUUUAUCGUAUAUUUUGUUAUAAGUAUAAUAAAUUGGACUAUUUUCAAGUAUGAGUUCGUAUAUAUGUAUGCAUACAAAGGAUUUUGUUGCUUGGCAUUAUUUUCUAAAAUGGAGGGAUUAUUUAUGUUGCAUAUAAAUUAUGUUAAACACUUUGUUUUCGUCCACUCACAUUUUAUGUUUUGCACCCCCCAGGUCCUAGAUAUCCGAGUUCAAGACCACCACGUCAAGGCAUCGCAGCUGCCAGCUCUGUAGGAACUUCCUCUUUAUCUUUUUCCUACUUUCCUUUUUCCUAGUUUGUAAAUUAAAUCUUUAGUUGCUCUAGUUGCUUGUUUGAGUUUGGGUAGAGGGUGUGAGGCCUAUUUCCUUAAUUUUAGCUGUUGUGUGUGCCAUUACCUUGUGCAUGCUGGAAAUUGGGGUUAUUUCUAUACUUGUUUGUAGGUACUGUAAUUUGGGAAUUGUUCCAAUUAUAGGGGAGACUUUGCUGAAAUUUUUAUAGAAGUUGAACUAUUUAUCCGUUUAAAUUAGGGCUACAAGGCUUUUUAGUAAAGUGGAUCCGGCGUCAGGUAGAUGUCGGACGGGAAGCAGGGUUUGUCAUGGAUUCCGGGAGGGAAUCCGGGGAGGGUAUUAGAGCAUUAGGUUCAAUUUCCUGUGGAUUUCGCACCUUGUGCGUAUCCUUAGUAUCGUUAUGUGUAGUGUGUUCUGUUCUGAAAUGAUGCCUCUUCGACGUGGAUGACCUCAUAAGAUGUUUUAGGUGCGUUUCGUAAGUCUGUUUCCUUUGACACAUGGUGAACUUUAACUUCCGGUUGUUAAGCUUGUUUGAGUUGGUUGUGGGUUUUGAUUAACUCAUUUAAGGAGCACUUUUUUCUUUUUUUUGGUAACAAGUUUUUGUUUAUCGUGCUAAUGAGACACUAAGGUAACUCUUGUGGUAUCAAAAUAGUUUUAUCAAAGUUCUACUAGGUUUGUUCGAUUUGAGCCGGAGUUAAUCUUGUAGGAAAGUUUGUGAUGAAUUUGCAAAAAAUGGUCAAUUCACUAGUAAGUUGGAGCAUGAAGUUGUUGUGAGUUUAACCAAAGGAAGGUAGUGAGUACACUAACCAGAUGAUGACAAGUACAUCCUUGCUAGCAAAGGAAUUGUUUGGUUGAAAUCGACAGUUUAUUAGAACAAAGUUCCAUAUGACUGAGUACAAGUCAGUGGAGUGCACGUGAAGGAAGUAAGACUUUCGAGCCUCUAAAUUGAGUAUUGAGAAUUUGACUGAUAGUGAAGGAUUCACUAGUUGAAGCCAAGGAAUGAAGAUGUUCCUAAGAUUGUUUAUAAUUUAAGUUAUGGACAACAUUGUGGUAGUAAGUGUGGUUGCUAUCGUGAUUCACUUGAGAACUUGAGGGGAUCAUGAUAGAGAAACAGUUUGUGUGGAGGUUGGCUUUGAUUGGUUGUCAUGGUUUCAUUAAGCCGAUGUAACUGUUGAGAGUAUUUGUCCCACAUUGAAAUGUUAAGGGACCUGGCCUGGGUUUAUAAGGAGUUGGGCUACUCCCCCUAUUGCCAAUUAGUUUUGGGGUGGAACCUCAACUUCCUUCAUGGUAUUAGAGCAAGGCUUCACGUGUUGGGCCCAACGGCCACACGUGCUCCCACGUCACCCAAUAUGUGUUAUCCACGUGUUAGGCUUGAAAGUUCACCACACGUGCGGGGGCGUGUUGAGAGUGUUUGUCCCACAUUGAAAUGUUAAGGGACCUGGCCUGGGUUUAUAAGGAGUUGGGCUACUCCCCCCAUUGCCAAUUGGUUUUGGGGUGGAACCUCAACUUCCUUCAGCAACAACAAUAAUGGUUCAAUUCUUUUCACUGGUGGUUGCGAGACAAGUAGUUGUAUCUGAGGAUUGGUACAACUACUACCUCGGUGUUGACCAUUUCCUCAAGUGGAAAUGGUUGUGUGUAAGUGUAGCAAGAGGAAAUCUUGAGACUUAUGUUUCGAUAUGAUCAAAGACCCAUGUUCUAGGAAAUUCAACUAAUGAAUGGAGUUGGCAGCAGUGUUUUCUGCCAAAUUCUUUGGGAAAUUUGAAGGUGUGGAAGUAAAGCAAUUGGAGAAAAGAAAAGUUAGCAUACUUGGCUAAGUUUAGGAUGUUACACUUGUGUAGCAUCCAGUGAAAAAUUAGUUAGUCAUGGGUAUCUCAAGUCAGAGAGCCUAGGCAGUCUUGGAGUGACGAUGGUGUAAGAAAAGGAAGGUGUCGAAGAUUGCAUCUAGUUCGGGUGUUGUAGCAAACAUUGUCAGAAGGAAUACCAUUUUAGUGGGGGAUGUUUUGCUUAGAUCGUAUGACCGUUCAAUCUAUUAGAAUUAGUAAGUGGUUUGGGGUAAGGAUAAUGUAUUAUCACAAGGAAAGUGUUGGAGUCAGCUAAGGCCGACAAAGAAAGUUGAGGAACGAAAAUAGUUAAGCAAGUUAUGUGUCAUUUCAGUUGGAUCCAUGAGAGUUCAUAUGGGUUGUCAUAUCCAGAAACAACACAUGUUGGAAAAGGAUUUCUUGGCCGUGUGUUUUCAGAGGAAGGAAUACUAGUGGAUCCUCAUAAAGUAGAAGCAGUGGUAGUUUGGGUGCAACCUACCAGUGUAGCUGAAGUAAGGAGUCCUCUUGGUUGUGCAGGUGACUAUCUUGUUUUGUGGAAACACAUCAGUACGACGAUUGCACACCUUACUCAGUUGAUGAGAAAUGGAAUGACAUUCGGGUGAAACUGAUGAGUGUGAACUGAGUUUUCAGGAAUUCAAGAGGCGGUUGACGACCACACCAUUGUUAGCCCUUCCCGAUGACAAGGGAACUUUGUGAUAUGCAGAAUUCACAAGGGAACUUUUUUAGCGAAUCCAGCUAAGUACCAUUUGAUCAUGUUGAAUCAAUUCUUCAUGGGCAGAAUUAACAACUUCAGAUGUUUUUCCUUAGUCAUCAGUAACUUUCAAAAACACAGGAUGACACUCACUAGUGCCAUCGACAAACUUCAUAAGACCACGACUUUCAAGGAUAGUUAUAAGGUGAGCCAACUAUAAGGGAUAAUUAGUACGAUCAAGUAUGAUAGACAAAAUAUUAGAAACGGAGGAAGAAACAUUAGGGGAAGAAACUAUAAGAAAAUGAGGUCGUGUGCAUUUUGAUAAUAAUAUAUAAUGUCCCUUAUUUAUAGCAGUCAUCAUGACAUUUAUAUUUUAAUAGUUUACAAGAGACAAUGACAAAUAUAUAAUAACAAUUUACUCGUAUCAUGACAAACUUUAAUCACGAGACAAGGCACACUGCAGACAUUUCUAAAGAAAAGUCGUAGGCUGACAAAGCGGAAAUGAGGACAUGUGGAGAAUAUGCAACAUGAAAAUAAGGUCGGCGAUGGAGGAUCAUAGGAGCAAUAACC
rnacentral:lncRNA from 1 species